rnacentral:lncRNA from 1 species
GUCAGGAGAGGCUGCGGAUUGUCAGCCGGCUUUUGUUCAACAUAAACAGCUUUCGGUAUACGAAUUCUAACAACGUAAGUUCAAUUCCUGCCUUAAUAUCAUGCAAGUGUUUUAUUUAUUUUUUUUUUUAAUUUUCAUUUUCAUAAUUUCCAUAUAUACCAGGAUUAUACAUACAUACAUACAUAUAUAUAUAAAAUGUGAACGCAUUUUCUUUCCGCUGAUAAAAAGGAGCCGGUUACUAAAGUAACUACAUUUCUCUCCUUUCAAUUUAGAUGAUAGCAAUUUCUCAAUUCAUAUAUUCUAACACACCAACAUUCUCUUAUUCCUUUAUUCUUGUUCUGAUUUCUGUCAUUGAUUUCCGCGGCCAUGCUGGAGCAUUGCUUUUACUGGUUUAUUCUCUAAUAAACACCUUCUGUAAUUCCUUCUGCUAAUUUAGUUUAUCGAAUUAUUAUUAUUAUUUUUUUUUUUUAUCAAACCGCUAAAUUAAGGAUCCUAAAGGGGUGGGGUUUAUAACUUGAACAUAAACACACACAGUUUUCUCACAAAAUAUUGGACAACUGGAGACUACGAUAGAAGGGCAACGCUUACCCCGCUAAGGUAACCACGUCGUAAUUACACACUGGGAAACAUGCCGUUUUGAAGCAAACUUCUUGUACAUAUACGAUGGCUGCUGCUGCUGAGGUUUGGUAAGGAUUCGCGCAACAUUCAUAGCAACAUAUAUAAACAUCACACGACGCUUGUUGUUACGGGCGCAAGAAGGGCUGUGUGGCUAUAAAGCUCACUCUGCAACCAAGUGAUUUUGGGUUCAAUCUCCCGCAAGUGUUUUUUUGUUUUUUUUUUAACUAUAAGUCCUGGGCUGAUUAAUUCCUUGCGAGUGAAUUACGUAGACAGAAACUCUGGGGUUUUUUUUUUUGUGAUUGUACCCCGUCACCAAUGCUGGUUUGUUUACAUCCCCGAUAAACCGGACUUCAAAAUUAUAUGUACUGGAGUCUGGUUUUUGUGCUUGUUCCCCGCCACCAAUGCUGGUUUGUUUACAUCCCCGGUAAAACGGACUUCAAAAAUAUAUGCACAGGAGUUGAAAUCGAGUUUUUUUCGACCAAACCGCUCUAGGUGAUGACUCACGUUGACCGCAAGUAAAAAAAGAUUGGUUCGGUCAACUCUGAAGGAUUAAAAUUAUGAAAACUGACGUUCCAUAUGUGACAAACCCUGUCCCCUGGGGUCUAUCAGGAACUGUUAUUUUGUCGCGUACUCUUUUGUGAAGACGGCAAGAUCUAAAAUGUACUACAUACAUACAUACCUACAUACGAGGGGUGUGGAAAAGUUCCUGGUUUUGGGUAACAGAAAAUACAGGAGGAUCGGUUAUUUAUAAUUUUAUUCAACAUAUUUCCCUCUCAGAUUCACACACUUAUUGCAGCAGUCCUUCGGUUUUUCUAAGUCCAGAAAAUAAUUCGGAAGGUUGAGCCUCCAACCAGGCCUUUCGCCUCUCCCUUAAAGAAACUUUUCAGCAUAGCUUCGUGUGUGUGUGUGUCUCUCUCUCUCUUCUCUCUCUCUAUAUAUAUUUUAUAUAUAUAUAUAUAUAUAUAUAUAUAUAUAUAUAAAGUGCGACGAAUAUUAGUUGAGCGAAACUUCGAAGUCCUCCUUCUCUAUACUCUACAAAUAAAUAUUGAGAAAUUCUUCACUUUAAUGCUAAAUUAUUAUUAUUAUUAUUAUUAUUAUUAUUAUUAUUUUAUUACAAAUCAUCAUAAAAGCAGAGAGACACGUGGAUGUAUAUCAAGCUUUUUUGCAUGUAUACAUUUUAAUAUCUACAUGAACGGAGAAAGAAAUUAAAAGUUUUGAAAUGUGGCAACGCGAAGCUCGGAGGAAACCACCACUUCCUGUCUUAUAUUUAUUCUACUUAAGGCGGGCGAACUAGCAGAAAAUGCUUCAUGGCAUUUCCUCCGAUUCUCUACAUUCUGAAUACAAAAUACCUAUUUCUUUACUACCCACAAGGGGCUAAACACAGAGAGGACAAACAAGGACAGACAAACGGAUUAAGUCGAUUACAUCGACCCCAGUGCUUAACUGGUACUUAAUUUAUCGACCCCGAAAUGAUGAAAGGCAAAGUCGUCCUCGGCGGAAAUACCGCCUUGGUCGGCUUCGUUUUUCAUCCCUUCGGGGUCGAUAACAUAAACUACCAGCUAAGUCCUGGGAUCUAUAUUAAUUCCUCAUAAAAAUUGUUAACUUUCUCCUAAAACUUGAAAGAAUCAUUAACUCUGUGUAUUAAAUUCCCAUCUCCUUACGUUUAUUAUUAACAAGUACAUACAUAUUCCAUCGAUUCGUCCAUCUUCUCCGCCUCCUAUUCCUGGGAGGGUUGUCGGGGUAGAUAGAGUCCUAACGCACAUCCCUCCAUAAGGUCUUAUCAUAAGCAACAGUCAUUGGGAUUUUCCGGCUGGUUUCUCAAGCGUGACUAACUAACUAUAAAUAUUUUCCAACCAUACAUGCAUAUUUAUACGCAUAAUUUGUUUUAUUAUUUACAUGUCUCGUUGAUAAUACAUAUUUAAUCGCUCCAAAAUUGAUUUGUUUUUCUUCAAUGAGGCCCCUUUGUUAUACUUUGUACGACAAAAUAUUCUCUUUAUAUUUACGAAAUAUAUAUUCUUAUGACUGCUAAUAAUAGUCACCUUGGUAUACGUAGGGAGUAUAUAGUUACUUUUACAACGGUUUGUCUUGUCACAGUCUGGGGUUUUUUUUUUUCUUGCAACGCUUGAAUGCACAAAACUAGCAAAUUGAUUUCUAUCUCUGCGACAACAGUUUGGUGUGCAUGUGUGAUUUAUAUCUAUAGAUUUUCGCUAAAAACGCGAAUUUGUUUCCAACAUAUAAAAUGAAAGGCGGCGAGCUGGCAGAAACGUUAGCACGCCAGGUGAAAUGCUUAGCGGCAUUUCGUCUGUCUUUACGUUCUGAGUUCGAUACCGCCAAGGUCGAUAUUAUCUUUCAUCCUUUCGGGGUCGAUAAAUUAAGUACCAGUUACGCACUGGGUUCGAUCUAAUCGACUGGUCCCCUCCCCCAAAAUUUCGGGCCUUGUACCUUGAGUAAAAACGAAUAUAUAUACGUUCGAAUUAUGUAUUUGUGCAUAUACGAAUGUGUGAAUGUAUAUGUAUGGAUAUGUGUAUAAAUAUGGUGACUGAUGAGGUCCUUGCUUGAGUAUUCAUGAGUAUAUUGUUAUAAUGAAAUAAUGUAGAAGCCGCUUAUUAUUAUCGCCUCGGAUAAUGUUGCUUGUUGUCUAAAAUACUGAGUUCCAAAUUCUUUAUUUGUUUCAUGUUAUUACCUAGUUCCGGUUAUUUAAAAAGAAAAGGCUUCAUCGCUGUGAUGACAAUAAGCGGCUUCUGCUGCAUGUGUAUUUACAAAUUUGACAUCUUAAAGUUUUCAUCAUAGUACAGUGUACACAAAGGCGACGAGCUGGCAGAAUCGUUAGUACACCGGGCGAAAUCGCUACGUUCUGAGUUCAAAUUCCGCCGAGGUCAGCUUUGCCUUUCAUCCUUUCAGGGUUGAUUAAAUAAGUCCCAGUUACGCACUGGGGUCGAUGUAAUCGAUUUAAUCCGUUUGUCUGUCCUUGUUUGUCCCCUUGUUUGUAUUCACGCAUGCUUAUAUAAAUAUUUGUUGUAUGUACACACGCGCACGCACACUUCUCUGUUGCUAUGGGCCAGCAUACGCUAGUGUAUCAGCUGUUUUUAUGUUGAUGGGGUUGGUUAAUGUCUGUGACACACACACAGGUGCGGCAGUGGCUAUGUAAUAAGUUUGCACUCCAAUCGAAUAGUCCCGGGUUCAGUCCCACAAUGUGACACCUUGAGCAGGUGUUUUCUGCUGUAGCCCCUAGCCGACGAAAGCCUUGUGUGUGGAUCUGGUCGACGGAAACUGAAAGAAGCCUGUCGCAUUUAUCCCCGCUUCACACAAAUUUCAGGUGUAGAAAUUAAGAUAUGUUUAAAAAUAAACAAACGUUAAACUUAGCGUUUCGGCAAAAGAGACGGAUAGAAUAAGUACUACGCUUAUAAAGAAUAAAUUCGGGGGUCGAUUUCUUCGACUAAAACACUUCAAGGCAGUGAUCCAGCAUGGCCGCAGUCAAGUGACUGAAACAAGUAAAAGUAUAAAAACAUGUGUGUGUAUAAGGGUACAUAGGUACAGGACGUCACCAACAGUGCAAACAACAUGAAAUAUGUAAACAACGAGGGAUGAAAAAAUGGAAAACGGGACAAGUAAACAGAGAGAAAGGACCCUUCAUCAGUUGUCGGUUGUCUAUCUACUCCUCAUUUCGGGCAUUAAACACAUAUAUAUAUAACGGGAAGGUUUACGAAAAUAAACAAAAGACGCAGGUGGAGUACAAACAAACAAAUGUAUUAGUAUGGCGCUCAGGAAUAGAAAUAGAACAAGUCUUUUACGUUUCGAGCCUACGCUCUUCGACAGAAAAAUAUACAGAAAAAAAACAAGGAGAGAAAAAAAUGCGUGUAGGAGCUAACGAUCUAUAUAUAUAUAUAUAUAUAUAUAUAUAUAUACACACACACACACACAUAAAUGCAAUUUGUUGAAAGAAGUUCAGCUAGGUGAGAAGGAUGAAGAUGAUGGUUGUAUUUUUAAGUGGAAAAUGAAGGUCAAACAUAUUUAAACGUUAAGUGUCAAUGAAUUUGACAGUUAAUGGUGCAUCUACGUUAAGGGUUGAAGCCGUAUCCACUGUCAACGGCGUCGCGGGCUUUACGUGUGUGUGUGCCUUGUGUGCAAUUCAUAUGUUUAUAAAUGGUUUUAUUAUCCCGAAAUAGUACAUGCGUGCACGUAAUUAUUUAUAUACAUGUGUUUUCACAAACCCUAAUUUACGCACAAAUCUAUUACAUGUAUAUAUAUAUAUAUAUAUGCACGCACGCACACACAUUUAUUCUUAAGCAAGAAUAUUGUUGAAUAUGACUUUGAAAUUUCGACCAGUUAAGCCAUCGUCAACAUGCCAAAGAUGACUUAACAAGCCGAUACUUCGAACUCACUGUCAGCAAAAUUCUUGUCUAAGAAUAAAUUUGUACUCUACAAAAGUGUAGAAUAACCCUUCAGAUUAACGUAAUUUUUUUGUUACUAAAAAUAAAUCAUAAAAUUCUUUUGCGUCUGGGGAGAAUCAUUUUCUUUUUGUGCUUUAUAAUUUAACACACUCACCGGUAAAAUUUCCACUUAUUUCUUAAUUUUCAUUUUCCUAAAAUUUUCGUUGCGUCUUGCAACCUUUUCAAUAGUCUUGACUCUGUCCGUUAUUUACACUGCGUUCCUUUUUGUUUGUGUGUGUGUGUGUGUGUGUGUGUGUGUGUGUGUGUGUGUGUGUGUGCCUAUGCAUGCAUGUACAUAUGAAAAGGUUGCAAGACGCAACGAAAACUUUAGGGAAAAUAAAAAUUAAGAAAUAAGCGGAAAUUUUACCGGUGAGUAUGUUAAAUCAUAAGGCACAAAAAGGAAAUGACUCUCCGCAGACAAAACAGAAUAUGCUUCAACACACGAACUCGCAUAAAGAAUCUUGCAAACCAAAUCCAAAGACGAAAUAUAAAUCAUAAAAGACAAACAUUAACAACACUCACAUAAACACACACACACACACACACGUAUAUAUAUAUAUAUAUAUAUAUAUAUAUAUAUAUAUAUAUAUAUAUAUAUAUAUAUGAGAGAGAGAGAGAGGAGGGAUUCGUGUGGAUAUAUAUUUCUUUAUUGGCCACAAGGGGCUAAACAUAGAGAGGACAAACAAGGACAGACAAAUUACAUCGACCCCAGUGCGAAACUGGUACUUUUAUUUAUCGACCCCGAAAGGAUGAAAGGCAAAGUCGACAUCGGCGGAAUUUGAACUCAGAACGUAACGACAGACGAAAUACCGCUAAGCAUUUCGCCCGGCGCGCUAACGUGUCUGCCAGCUCGCCGCCUUUAGACGUGUGGAUAUAAAUAUAUGCACACGUGAGUGUGAGAGAGAACACGUCUUCGUAUCACACGCGAAUAAACGAACGUACGUAUAUUUAUACACGUUACGUACGUAUACUGUGUAUGCACUAUACUAAUGAUAUAUCAUUUAUUAUUAUUUUUUUUUACUUGUUUCAGUCAUGUAGACUGCGGCCAUGCUGGGGCACCGCCUUGAAGCGUUUUCGUCGCAUGAAUUGACCCCAAUACUUUUUUUAAAGCCUCGUACAUUUUACCGAACCGCCAAGUUACGGAGACGUAAAUGACAGCACUGGUUGUGAAGAGGUAGCGGUGGACACACACACACACACACACACACUUGUUGUUUUUUAUAUAUAUAUAUAUAUAUAUAUAUAUAUAUAUGCGACAGGCUUCUUUCAGUUUCCGUCUACCAAAUCCACUCACAAAGCUUUGGUCGGCCCAAGACUAUAUAGUACAAGACACUUGCCGAAGUUGCCACGCAGUGGAACUGAACGCGGAACCAUGUGGUUGGGAAGCAAGCUUAUUACCACACAGCCGUUCCUACGUCUAUAGAAGAUGAUGAUGAUGAUGAUGAUGAUGAUAGUGGUAAACAAUAUAUUAGUUUCAAAUUUUGGCACCAGGCCAGUAAUUUGGGGUAAGGGGCCAAGUCGAUUACAUUGACCCCAUUGCUCAACUGGGUACUUAUUUUAUCGACUCUGAAUCAAUGAAAAGCAAAGUCGAUCCCAGCGGAAUUUGAACACGGUUCACGCAAAUGGACGAAUCACCGCUAAGCAUUGCGCCCGGCGUGCUAACGUUUCUUCCAGCUCGCCACCUUAAUAGUGGUAACAGUAUUCUUUUCUACUCUAGGCAGAAGGCCCGACAUUUGGGUGGAAAGGGCCAGUCGAUUACAUCGACCCCAGUAUGCAAUUGGUACGUAAUUUAUUGACCUUGAAAGGAUGAAAGGCGAAGUCGACCUCGAUGGAAUUUGAACUCAGAAGGUAGCGGCAGACGAAAUACCUAUUUAUUUACUACAAACAAGGACAGACAAACGGAUUAAGUCGAUUAUAUCGACCGCAGCAUAUAACUGGUACUUAUUUAAUCGACCCCGAAAGGAUCUCGGCGGAAUUUGAACUCAGAAUGUAACGGCAGACGAAAUACGGCUACGCAUUUCGCCCGGUGUGCUAACGCUUCUGCCAGCUCGACACCUUAACAGUGGUAACAAUAUUGACCAUUAUAUUAUGACGACUCUGGAACAAAUGUUUCUUUGUUCGUUCGAUAGCCGGAACUCUCUUCCCCAGAGAAUUACAUACAAUCGGUGUAUUCUUGAUAGAUACUUUAUACUGAACAUACAAGUGAAAUUUGUACAGAAUCGUUGUAAUGACCACUCAGUACUUCACAAGAGUCAAGCUUUUAAAAUUUCUGUCCGUUCGUUACUCGUCAUCAAUUGGAUAGGUAUUUACAUCGUAUCCGUCAACUCAAUUUUCACUAUCAGUGUUUAGGGACGACUCCUCUGGGAAUAUGGUGAUAAGAGACGUGAGGAGGCUUCAGAAUCCAGAUUCUGUGAAAGUUGACAAGGAUGUGUACCAAAAACAAUGGUGAUAAUUAUGGUAAAUCCAUGAAAAUUUGUUUUAUUGCUGUCAAUGUUUUGAUUAAUAUGAGGAGUGGGGAAUUUUGAGAAUUCUGGUCAUAACAACAACACUUCGUCAAUAGCCGACGGAAAUGAUAAAGGAGUGAAGAUGUCAUUCGGUAUAGACUCCGGUACGUGAGUAGGAACACGAUGUAAACAUCACACGGCUCUUGUUUUUAUUGUUGUUGUUAUCUUAAUUUAGCCCCAGGUCAGCUCUGAGAGAACGGAACAUGAAAGCAGAACUAUGAAAACAGCUACAAGAACACCUUUGCCGUCUUUGAUAUACCGAACCCUCUUUUAAUCCACAUUAAAUUACACUAAUUUACAAGUAUUUUAUUUAAUUAUCUAAGUAAAUUUAAUAUUUGUUUAAUGAAAAGUCUGUUCACCAAGUCGAUCUUCUCCUGGUUCGAAAAAAUCCGUUAUCCGCAAAGGGUUCGGAAAAUCGAUAUUGUACUCGUAUUGACGCUCUGAUGAACCCGUUCUUCAAUACAUUUUACUUAGGUCUGUUACUUUUGACGAAUCCUGUCAUUACGCUCCUCUUUAAGAUUGAUAUUACACUUUUCUAACACACAUACACACAUCUUUUGUCUUUAUCUGUCACAGAUCUUCGGCCAUGCUGGAGCAUCGCCUUUUUAAAGAUUUUAGUCGACCAGAUCAACCUUGGUAAUUGUAUUUAUUUUUAAGCCUAGACCUUGUCCUACCGUUUUUUGUUUGUUUUUUUGCUGAACCGUAAAUUUACUCCAGCGUAAAACAAUCAGCACCGGUUAUUGUUAACAUCCACUCCACCAAAGUUUCUACCUAGGGGAUUUGUUCUUUGUCGUAGCUUUAGAACCCAAGCUUUCUUUAUGUGGCUUAGAACUGAAGAUGAAGGGAUAACAUCCUUGGACAUUUUGCAAAAGUCUCCAUGCCUUAUAGCGCUCAACGGUAAGAUCUUAGUAUCUAUUACCAAUUCGGUGGAGACGGCGAUCUGGCAGAAUGGUUACUGCACCGGGUAAAAUGAAUGCUUUUUGCAUCAUUUCGUUCGUCUUUACGUCCUGAGUUCAAAUUCCGUUAAGUAUUUCGUCCGGUGCGGUAACGAUUCUGUCGGCUCACCACCGCCUUUUAUAAAUCAUAAUAAUCCUUUCUGCUAUGAGGAGCAAGACCUGUAAUUUUGCGGGCGGAGGAUAAUCAAUUACGCCGACCUCAAUGCUUGACUAGUAUUUUAUUUAUCGACCCCGUAAGUAUGAAAGGCAAAGGCGAUCUCGGCGGCAUUUGAGCUCAGAACGUUCGUAUGGACGGGUGAAAUGCCGUUAAGCAGUUUGCCCGAAAUGCUAAUGAUUCUACCAACUCGCAGCCUUAAUUAAUAAUGGUUUCAAAAUUUGGUCACGGACAACAAUUUCAGGGAUGGCGGGACUAAGUGGAUUUACAUCGACUCCAGUGCGCAACUGGUAUUUAAUUUAUCGACCCUGAAACGAUGAAAAGCAAAGGCGACUUCGGCGGAAUUUGAAUUCUGAGCGUGAAGAUGGACGAAAUACCGCUAAGUAUUUUGCACGGCGUAUUAAUAAUUCUGCCAGCUUGUUGCCUUAGUAAUCUUUUCUACUAUAGGCAUAAGGCCUGAAAUUUGUGGGGAGAGGACUAGUCGAUUACAUCGACCCCAGUACGCAACUGGUACUUAAUUUAUCGACCUCGAAAGGAUGAAAGGCAAAGUUGACCUUGGCGGAAUUUGAACUCAGAAGCAUUUCGCACGGCAUGCUAACGUUUCUUAUUUCUUUAUUACCCACAAGGGGCUAAACAUAGAGGGGACAAACAAGGACAGACAAAAGGAUUAAGUCGAUUACAUCGACCCCAGUGCGUAACUGGUACUUAAUUUAUCGAACUCGAAAGGAUGAAAGGCAAAGUCGACUUCGGCGGAAUUUGAACUCAGAACGUAACGGCAGACGAAAUACGGCUACGCAUUUCGUCCGGCGUGCUAACGUUUCUGCCAGCUCGCCGCCUUUCGCUGCCUUAAUAAUAAUGAUGACGACGACGACGAUGAUGAUCAUGAUGAUGAUGGGAGGAAAGGAAAGAAGGGGACCUUGCAGUGAUGUAGUCUUGGAUACACUGUCUGGAAAACAAAAAACAAAAAAAAACGAACAGAAAACAGCCGGGCGGUGUUAUAUUCAGUGACCUGGAAACUAACAACAAAAAACAACCUUGUAUCAUUUAUAAUUUAUACUCGACGUGCUGGAAAUAACAGGUUUGCUAGAUAAGUUCGAAACGGGGCGGAACAGCAGCAGCAACAACAACAACAACAGCUACAAAAAACAGCUGAUAAGUUAUUGACUGAAUAUGAACUAACUCAUACAUACACAAAAAUGGGUUAGCAUACACACACAAACUCACACAAAUUCACACAUUUAAUAUGCUUCAACGCACAUCGUUUGUUGCCGAGAAGCCGUGUGUUGUAUGUAGAUGGAGGGAGGAUAAAAAAGAGAGAGUCUGGUUCUUCCCUUCGUAUCAUGUUUUAACUAUAAAGCUGAAUGCCUUGUCGAAGCAGACAAUAGAGUAAAUAUUUUUUAUUUUUAAAUAAAUACAAAUUGUGGAAUUUGUAAGGAGAGAACUAGUCAGUUAUAUUAGUGCGGACGAUGGCGGCGAGCUGGCAGACACGUUAGCGCGCCGGGCGAAAUGCUUAGCGGUAUUUCGUCUGUCGUUACGUUCUGAGUUCAAAUUCCGCCGAGGUCAACUUUGCCUUUCAUCCUUUCGGGGUCGAUAAAUAAAGUACCAGUUUCGCACUGGGAGCGAUAUAAUUGACUCAAUCCCUUCGUCUGUCCCCUCUAUGUUUAGCUCCUUGUGGGCAGUAAAGAAAAAUAUAUUAGUGCGGACACUUUAUUAUAAAGGACCCUGGAAGAAUGAAAGGCAAUGUUGAUCUCAGGGGAUUUGAAAUCGAAACGUAAAGAGCGGGAAAAGAUAUCGCAGGGGGUUUUGUCCGACUUUUCUAACUAUUCUGUUACCGAACCUAAAGGACACGAUACAAUAAAUUAUUUCAUAAGGUCUUGAAAAGUUUGUGGGGAAGGGGGAUAGUAGAUUACAUCGACCCCCAGUAUGUAACUUGAACUUAUUUCAUCGACCUCGAAAGGAUGAAAGGCAAAGUCGACCUCGGCGGAAUUGGAACUCAGAACGUAGCGGCAAACGAAAUAUUGCUAUGCAUUUCACCAGACGUGCUAACGAUUCUGCCAGCUCACCGCCAUAAUAAUAAUAAUAAUAAUAAUAAUAAUAAUAAUAAUAAUUGAUAAUAAUAAUAAAAAAUUUUAAAAUUCGUAUUUUAGCACAAAGCCAGCAAUUUCGGGAGGGGGAAAGUAAGCCGACUGCAGGGCCCCCGACUUCUAAAGGGUGAAGGACAAAGUCAGCUUCCGCAGAAUUUGAACUCGGAACGUAAAGACAGACGAAUGCCGCUAAACACUUUGUCCGUCGUGCUAACGAUUCUGCCAGCUCGCCGCCUGAGGACGGAUAUAAUUCAUGCCUUCACUCUCUAACUGAGGCACCUGUAUGAUUGCCUGAUGUGCUAGAAAUAGCAACUAAAUUCCACACUAACAUCGUAAAAAAUAUUGGAACACAUUGAAUAAUUUCAAUAUUAGAUUUAUUAUAUCUGAACAAAAUCUUUGGAAGGAUCAUAGUGGAGACCAUUUUCUGCUAUAGAUUUGAUUGACUAGCACUUACCUGAGAGUAAUACUUGGUUGUUAUUUCUAGCGACUUCAAUGACCGCGUAGAAGCUUCCUCGUCUCAUCAGGCCAUGGUACACAGUUAUGGGUACGGAUAUUUAUCAAUACAAAUAAAUUCAGAUAAGAAAAUGUAUGUAUGCAAUAAUGUUGUAUACCUGUUUUAUAUGUAUAUUGUUUCUAGUAUAGACACAAGAUUAUAAAUUUGGUGCGAGGGGUAAUCGAUUAUAUCGAUCGCAGUACCUAACAGGUACCUAAGGAUGGAUCUAAGGUAAAGUUAGUCUCAGCGGGAUUUGAAAUGAGGAUGUGAAGAACUGAAAUAAAUAGCACAGGCAAUUUUUUCACCGACACACUAACGAUUCGGCCAAUCCACUUCCAUUGAAAAUAUAUAAUGUAAAGGCGAUGUGGUGGUAGGGACAUGUUUCUACGCGGAGGUCGGCUUGUUAAAAAUAACAGCCAAAUUUCCGUAAAAUUACACCUUACUGUCUUGAAAAGUUACACGUUAAAUAAAGCAGUGCUACAUACGCAAUGGCCGAAUGAAGAGCGGGAUGUUCAUGAUGGGAAGGUCUUUGACCAUAGGUUCUAUUGAUCAGUGAUGUAUUAUAGGCAAGCAGCAACAUAUACUGCCUUGACCUGGAAACGAACACGCAUUGCUGUGUAGUUUUCAAAAUGUUAGGCUUUAUUGAUAAGUAAUUAGAAAUUCAUUUAGAUUUUCUUUUCGCUAUAGGUGUAGUCGCUGGUGCAUAUUUCCACCUUCUACUCCCUAUAUACAUAUAUAUCUCAUAAUUUGUGACACCCCUGCCUACGUUCAUCUUCAGUCACUGCUUUUUAAUCCCUUCAUUCAUUUUUUCCCCUUUCUUUGGAUAUUUACUGGACCCUCCCGUUUAAGGAUCUAUAUCCGAAAUAUUAGAUUGUUUUCCUUAUAUAGCAAUCAAACGUACUGACAGCUCCAGUGUAUCUCUUUGGUUUCAAGGGAUCAUAAAGAUUUGCAAAUCCAUGCUGCUCCCUCUCGAUCACAUGCUAUUUAUCGCCAUUUCUACAUUUAUCAACUGCUCAGAUUGCGUUACGAAAAUAACGACGGGUCAGAGGUUAAUGUCGUUGCCUUUCUGCUGACUAUUAUCCCUCUGUUGGCUCAUGCCCUGCUAUCUAAGCCUUUAUGUGUCUGUCUCGCAUUAUCAUUAUCUGAUGUUUUGCCUUGCCAUCGGUCUCGAAGACCAGCCAGGCAUUACUGUAUACCGUGCCUCGGUCUAUCGAAACUACAUUCUUCCAUACACCGACCAAGACAUCUUGUUGGUAUAAAGAAAAACUCACAAAAAUAUACUUGCCCUCUCACCAACAAAUUACUCGGGCAAGGUGGUAGAACCCUCUGUAACACUCUACUGCCAGAAUUCUUUCUCGUGAUGGAUUUGCCGAUGUCCUAAAUUUCCUUAUUAAAAGUGAUACCUGCUGAGCUGCGUAUGUUUUGUUGAUGAUGCAGUUGCUUGGUGGUGAGUCGCUGAAACUAUUCUCAGUGCUUUCAUUACUAACAGGAAUGUCGUUUCUUUUUUUUAUAUUUAGUUUCCAUGUGUCUUGAUGCAAACUAUACAUGUUCGCUUUUCGUUCGUUUUCGAUGCUGUUGUCUAAGAUUUUGUUUGAGGUUGCGUUGCCUCUAAUACUUGUCGACAUUCAGUAACGAAAGUAAGAAAGUCGGACAAAAAUUACUUUCGAAGUGUUUUGGAAAGCUAUAUAUAUAUAUAUAUAUAUAUAUAUAUAUAUAUAUAUAUAUAUAUGUGUGUGUGUGUGUGUGUUCUCUUUGUCUUCUAAACUAGAUGAAAGAAUUAAAAUAAAAUCUUUGUAAUGUUCCUAUGCAAUUCCGAUACAGACACGUGCACUCGCUCAAAGAAUAUCAUUCAAUUUUUGAAGCCAACGAAUUGUAAUACAAAUAGGACAAGAAACUCUACUACUGCUACUAACAACAGCAACAACAACAAGGCGUGAAAUUUUAUGGAUGGAGGACUUGUCGAUUACAUUGACUCGACUGAUACUUAUUUCAUUGACCCCGAAAGACUAAAAAGUAAAACCGACCUUGGCGGAAUUUGAACUCAGAACGUAAAGACGCGAAAUGCCUCUAACCAUUUUGUACGGUAAGGUAACGAUUCUGCCCGCAAUAAUAAUAAUAGUAGUAGUAGUAGUAGUAGUAGUAAUUUUUAUUUUUAGAACCAGGCCAGCAAUUUUGUGGCAAGGCAGUAAGUCGAUAACACCAACUCCAGUACUCAGCUGGUAUUUUAUUGCGGCGAGCUGGCAGACACGUUAGCACGCCGGGCGAAAUGCUUAGCGGUAUUUCGUCUGCCGUUACGUUGUGAGUUCAAAUUCCGCCUAGGUCGACUUUGCCUUUCAUCCUUUCGGGGUCGAUAAAUUAAGUACCAGUUACGCACUGGGGUCGAUGUAAUCGACUUAAUACCUAUGUCUGUCCUUGUUUGUCCCCUCUAUGUUCAGCCCCUUGUGGGUAAUAAAGAAAUAGGUAUUUCGUCUGCGUUACGUUGUGAGUUCAAAUUCCGCCGAGGUCGACUUUGCCUUUCACCCUUUCGGGGUCGAUAAAUUAAGUACCAGUUACGCACUGGGGUCGAUGUAAUCGACUUAAUACCUAUGUCUGUCCUUGUUUGUCCCCUCUGUGUUUAGCCCCUUGUGGGUAAUAAAGAAAUAGGUAUUUUAUUGUAUCGACUCCGAAAAGAUGAAGAUAAUAAUUGCUUUAGUACCACAAAAAUGAACGGAUGAAGAGAUAUGACAAGAAUAAAACUGCAGAAAUGGGAGAGAAAGCGAACGCACAUACAGAUAGAUAGAUAGAUAGAUAGAUACACAAACAAACAAACAAAUCAAACACGAACGGGCCUACAAGCAAGCAAACAAACAAACAAUCAUGAAUAGAUGUACUAUUUAUUAGCGACCCAACUACUUCAUCACGCUACGUAAGACGACAUCAUCAUAUUCGAAGCAGAAUUGAAGCAGAUAAAAAUAUAGAACGUAAAACAAAGAGACGAUAUAUAUAAAUAUAUAUAUAUAUAUAUAUAAAAUUGCCAGAUAGGUAAAAAGAUAUCAAGCUACAUUUGUUCAUAUUGAUUGGAACAUAUUUAUAAAUAGGCAGGAAAGAAAAAAAAAAAAAAGAAAACCUCGUAAAUUUUCCCGGCGACCAUUCGACGUGUGGAAAUCAAAAGAUAAUGCUCAUAUAUUGGACGAAACCCAAAAUUGGGUCAGCGGAAAAUUUUCUUUUUUUUUUUGCAAGCCUUAUUAUUGUUCCUCCAGAAUAUAACAAUGUAUUUUACUAUCUGCGAACCCCUUUCUUUUUCUCUGAUCUAUUUCUAUUAUUAAUAUUAUUGUAUAUUCUUGGUGUUUUUUUUUUUUUUUACUCACGCUAUUUUCAUAUACUAGCUGUGUUCAUAUUUACAUGUACAUUCAGUCAUAUAUAUAUAUAUAUAUAUAUAUAUAUAUAUAUAUAUAUAUACACUCACGCACAGAUGUACACGUAGAUAAGCAAAUAUGCAUACAUAUUUGCAUUCAGCUCCAUUAUUUAUGAAAUCUGUAUUGUAAGUGACCUAAACACGUUCCUCUGAGAAGUUUAACCCCGGUAUAUGUACGUAUGUGUGUGUGUGAGAAGUGUAUAUGUAUGUGUGUGUAUGUAUAUAUAUAUAUAUAUAUAUAUAUAUAUAUAUAUAUAGAGAGAGAGAGAGAGAAGGGGGUAUAUAUAUGCAAAUAUGCAUGUUUAUAUAUAUAUGUAUAAAUGUACGCAUAUGUAUGUAUAUAUAUAUAUAUAUAUGUAUAAAUGUACGCAUAUGUAUGUAUAUGUAUAUAUAUGUAUAAAUGUACGCAUAUGUAUGUAUAUGUAUAUAUAUGUAUAAAUGUACGCAUAUGUAUGUAUAUAUGUAUAUAUAUGUAUAAAUGUAAAAAUAUGUAUAUAUAUAUAUAUGUAUAAAUGUACGCAUAUGUAUGUAUAUAUGUAUAUAUAUGUAUAAAUGUACGCAUAUGUAUGUAUAUAUGUAUAUAUAUGUAUAAAUGUACGCAUAUGUAUGUAUAUAUGUAUAUAUAUGUAUAAAUGUACGCAUAUGUAUGUAUAUAUGUAUAUAUAUGUAUAAAUGUACGCAUAUGUAUGUAUAUAUGUAUAUAUAUAUGUAUAAAUGUACGCAUAUGUAUGUAUAUAUGUAUAUAUAUGUAUAAAUGUACGCAUAUGUAUGUAUAUAUAUGUAUAAAUGUACGCAUAUGUAUGUAUAUAUGUAUAUGUAUAAAUGUGCGCAUAUGUAUGUAUAUAUGUAUAUAUGUAUAAAUGUACGCAUAUGUAUGUAUAUAUGUAUAUAUAUGUAUAAAUGUGCGCAUAUAUAUGUAUAUCUAUAUAUGUCUAAAUGUGCACAUAUGUAUGUAUAUAUGUAUAUCUAUAUAUGUAUAAAUGUGCACAUAUGUAUGUAUAUAUAUGUAUAUCUAUAUAUGUAUAAAUGUGCACAUAUGUAUAUCUAUAUAUGUAUAAAUGUACGCAUAUGUAUGUAUAUAUGUGUAUAUAUAUUUUUAUAUAUGUAUAUGUAGUUAUAUAUGCAUUUGUGUGUGCACAUAUAUAUGAAUGUGUGUGUGUGUAUAUAUAUAUAUAUAUAUAUAUAUAUAUAUAUAUAUGCAUGCAUGCAUAUAUGUAUAUAAUAUGUUCAAUGCCUUAUAUGCUCUGACCGCAUUUACUUUUUGUACUUCUGUGCUCACGAAGAUGAAACCCCUUGGGGUUGGAUAUCUUACAAACUGCAUUACUUUAUAAGACGAAGGCUCUCGUGUUAUAUAUGCUUCUCAAAUGCUUGCUGAUAAAUCUGUGUAAAGAUGAGACAAAAUUUUGGUUCAGGAAAUGCUUCUAUUUUGUCCUCGGGAGAAGUAUUUAGUCUCGACUUAGCUGGAACGCAACCUCUUCAUUUGUAACACAAUAUACGUAAUAUAUACAAUAUAUGUUCUAAGAAUAUUCGUUGCCUAUAUUUUGAUGUAGUGGAGGCGCAAUGGCCCAGUCGUUAGGGCAGCGGACUCUCGGUCGUAGGAUCGCGGUUUCGAUUCCCAGACCGGUCGUUGUGAGUGUUUAUUGAGCAAAAACAUCUAAAGCUCCGCGAGGUUCCGGUAGUGGGUGGUGGCGAACCCUGCUCUACUCUUUCACCACAACUUGCUCGCUUUCUUCCUGUUUCUGUUGUACCUGUAUUUCAUAGGGCCAGCCUUGUCACCUUAAGGUGACCUGGAUAACAAUGAUAAUAAUAAUAAUAAUAACAACAACAUCGAAAAAUACCUUAGGAAUGAGAACCCAGGUUCGGAAUUUCCCCAAUACACCUGAUGAAGGCUGGAGGGUAUAUCAGCCGAAAUGUUGUGUUAACAAGAAACAAGAUGAGGAUAAAUAUCCGUCAAAUGUAAAUAAUGUAAAUAAUUCCUCAUCUCUUAAAUAUAGAACUGGUUGAAUCCUGUCCUUCAAUUGUUAGUUAUAUAUGAAGAAGGUGCUGAAAAGUGCUGGUAUUCGGUAAAAGAAAAUACAGGAGGAUCAGUUAAUUAUUAUUUUCAUUCAACAUAUUCCCCUCUCAGAUUCACACACUUAUUGCAGAAGCCCUUCAGUUUUUCUAAACCCUUGUAAAAGAACUCGAAAAGUUGUGCCUCCAACCAGGCCUUUCGUGCUACCCUUAAAGCUAGAAACUUUUUAACAUCUCCACGCAUAUAUAUAUUCAUAUUUUUUCACUUUUAGGCUUAUUUCAAUAGAUUUCCUACAUAAUUUAUAACCAACACUGCAAAUUUGGACGUUUCGGAAACAAAUACAUCUAUACAAGGUUAUUAAAAAUUCAAAUACUCUUGGGACAUAUUCGAACCUGUACACAGUUGGCCAAAAGUUACCUGACAGUAAAUCAAAACUAUUUAAUUCCAAGAUUUAUUUAUGUUUAACAACGGAAUGAAUUUAAUAUAAAGCAUCUAAAUACGAAACAUCAUGAAAAUUGUUCAAACUGAAGUCCUUCUUGGGCGACACAUUUUUCCAAUUGAUUCAAUACAGAAUUACAGAUUGUAUUUAUGGAAUUACAAGCAAAACGCCCCCCCCCCCGUCCAAUGGACGGUGCUGAGUUAUCAAACAUUUAAACCAAAUUUUCUCAAAACGACUUGUCCGACCGUCCCAUAGGCCUCCCCUUUGAGAAACACUGAUUUAACCUAAAUUUGAGACACCAGCAAAAGAAGAAAUAAAGAUAGACUGUUUUUCUAUUCCAAAGAAAAACGAUUUCCCACGGCUUUAUCGAUCGCAUUCUCACCUGGAAUCGAUUUUUGCAAUUUUUUUCAAAACUUAUACACGCCCUGAUACCGUCGGUAUCUACAUAUCAAAUUUGAGCGCAAUCGGAUGGAGGAUGCUCGAGACCCGAGAAGACACACAGACAGACAGAACGGAUUUUAUAUAAUAGACUAGCAGUAUCGCCCGGCGUUGCUCGGGUUUGUAAGGGAAAUAACUAUAAAGCAUUUUUAGAGAGUUAUAGCCAAAAAAUAGAAACAAAUGGAAAAAAAAUGAUGGUAAAUUUUUUUUGAGAGUUAAAAAGGUCGAGUUGCGUCCCCUAGACUGUCUGUGGUUUGUGUUUCUGAUUCUUGACCCCAUGUCGAAUUUAUCGAUUUUUUUCAGAACUGGGGGAACUUUUCAAAAUUUUCGCUGCGUUAGUUUUGAAUUAUGACAUUGGGCUAUGCGUGUGUCAAGUUUCAUCAGAAUCGGUUGAAAGCCGUGGUCAGGGUGAGGGUACAACCACACAGACACACACACAGACAAACUGCCGUUUAUAUAUAGAGAGAUGAUUUACUGUCGGUUGACUUAUGGCCAAACCCUGUCUAAAAGCCAAUCACAGUAUUUUGUCACGGAGAUAAUUUCUCGGUGUAGACAAAUGGUGUAAAUACACCAAAAAUACAUCUAUGUAAACCGGUUUUAUACUUGGUAGCAUAUUUUGGUUGCAAAACAAAAUACUGUGCCCUUGCCAGCAAUUAAUAUGUACGUAACCAGUUGCCAAGAAUCUGCUUAUAAAGUGGUGUAUCCAAUUGUGUUACGCCAGUAAAACCUGGUGGGUAUAUAAGCGAUGUGUUUGUGGACGGCUAAUGGAUUGGAUGUGGUGUUGAUUAAAGAGCAAUAACUCUUGAAAUGUUCACCCAUCACCUAUUUUCUUCUCUCUUCAAUCGCAUUGUUUACGUAGACGUGUUCAUUUACGAAACGUCGUAAUUCGUCGGUUAAAAUUCUUAACGGUAUUUCGUUCGUCCUUAAGCUCUGGUUUCAUAUUCCAUCGAGGUCGUCUUUGCUUUUUCAUCCUUUCGGGGUUGAUAAAAUAAGUACCCAUUUAGCACUCUGUGGUCGACCUAUUCCCUCCGCUGAAAAUGCUAGCCUUGUGCCAAAAAUUGAAAUCAGUAAUAUCACUUUCAGUCAGCUCGCCGGUCAAAAUGCUUCGUGGCAAUGUCGCCCGUCUUUAUAUACCGAGUUCAAUUUCACCAAGGUCGACUUUGCUUUUUAUCAUUUCAGGGUAGAUGUAACCCACUUACACGUCGCCUCCCCAAAAUUACUGGUCUUCUACCAAAAAUCCGAAACCAACAUUAAAUUCUAUCAUGUAUUUAUUUGCAUAUUUUACCUCAUGCUACAUUAAAUAUAAUUUGUAGUUUACAAGAUAACAUGCGCCUUGCAUCGCAAAGCUCAGAAUAAACAUACAAGCUAUACGCUCGCACGUAUACACACUCGUAUAGUGCACGGUGUUAUGUUACCUACAAGACAUGAAUAUCGUUUUCGAUAUCUUCGCGUAGUUCGUAAUAAUUUCUGGUGAUAUAAUGGUAACACGUUUUUGUGUCUGUUGACACACCAACCCUUUGCUAGGCUGACGCUUUCUACGUACGUAACUAUCAACGUGCAUACAUACAAUGCCCUACCCUACGCUGGCUGAUAUGUCAUACCGCAAAUCUGCCACAUUUUUGCUCUUUAGGAGAUGUGUGUGUAUAUAUGUAUAUAUUUGUUGGAAUUUAGUUCGAGUGUUACACAUUGUGUGUAUUUAUGUAUUUGUAUCAAUGUACAUACACACACACACACACGUAUAUGUUUCUGUAUGUAUGUGUGUGCGUAUAUAUAUGUAUACUCAAACACAUAUAUGUGUGUAUUAUACAUGUAUGUAUAUAUAUUUAAAUAUAUAUAGAUAUAUACUAAAUGCAUAUACAUACGCACACGCACGAUUGUAUAUAUAUAUGUAUGUAUAUAUAUAUAUAUAUAUAUACAUAUAUUAUAGAUGUAUAUAUAUAUAUAUAUAUAUAUAUAUAUAUACAUAUACAAACGUGUGUAUAUAUGUGCGUGUGUGUAUGUAUAUGCAUUUAGUAUGUAUAUAUAUAUAUACACAUGUAUAAUACACAUAUAAUGUGUAUGUUUAUAUCCGUACAUGUGUUUGAGUAUACAUAUACAUGUAUACAUACAUACGUGUGUGUGUAUACGUUCGUGUGCGUGUGUGUGUUAAACACACACAUCCACACACGUGUUUGCUUUUUAUGCAUGCUAUACACACAGCGGAAGCAGCCUAUUAUUAUCACAGACCAUUUGAAUCUGUUAUAAUUAUCAAAAUUACUGGAACCCAAAUACGCACUGAAUAUCGCUAUAUCCUACUCUUAACGUUAUCAACCGGUUAUUAUUAUCGAAACGUAUAAGUCCUAAAAUCAUCAAUAUAUUUGUAUCUGCGUGCGUGUGUGUAUGUAUAUAUAUAUAUAUAUAUAUAUACAUUGUGUGUGUGUGUUUUUCGGUAAGUGCUUGCGCGUGCGUUGCGGUAUGUGCACGCGCCUCGCGUGUAAAUAUAUGUGUAAGUGCGUGCUCACGUGUUUCUUGCAGACUGCCUUUGUUGUUGUUGUCGCUGGUUUUUUUCUUUUUUUUUUUUUUCUUAUUUCGUGAAUUCAUUCUUGGACUAUCGAUCGCUCACCAUUAAUCGAUGAAAUGAUAGAAUGCCUACAACGAGGCUAAGUCUCCGUCUGGCAAUGUUGAUGGAAUAAUAGGGGACAGCGGGGGAAGAAGAAGGAGGCGGUGGGAAUGCCGUGGUGUAUAUAUAAUAUAAUAAUAAAUAAUAAACGAACGAAAGAAAAAAAAAAAAAAUAAAGUUUUGUCUGUCUGACAACCGUCCCACGCUUUUACGCACGCGUGCUGCCGACCGACGUACGUACACAUACACUAGCAGACAUGUUUAAUGAGGGAAUAGAAAGGAGGACGGCGGUUGGUGCGGCGGCGGCGGCGGUGGUGGUGGAGGAGGGUUAGGUGGGUGGGGGGGGUUUCAGGAGGGAAAAUGUCAAAUGAAGGGGUUCCGUCUCCUGGUUUCUAUUCCAAGCAAAAGGUUCUUAAAGUGAAUGUGUAUGAAUAUACAUACAUACGUGCAAUAUAUUAUAUACGAAUGCACGCUCACAAAACACACACACACACACACGUACAUGCAUACACACACACAUAUGUAUAUGUUUGUGUAUGCAUUCAUGUUAAUGGCUGUGUGGUAAGAAGCUUGUUUUCCAACCACAUGGUUCCGGGUUCAGUCCCACUGCGUGGUACCUUGGGUUCUAUAGCCUCAGACCGACCAAAACGUUGUGAGUGGAUUUGGUAGACGGAAACAGAAAGAAGCCUGUCGUAUGUAUGUGUGUGUGUGUGUGUGUGUGUGUGUAUAGUUGUGUACCAUCGCUUGACAACUGAUGUUGGUUUGUUUACGCCCCCAUUACUUAGCGGUUCAGCAAAAGAACCGAUAGAAUAAGUAAAAGGCUUGCAAAGAAUAAGUCCUGGGGUAGAUUUGUUUGACUAAAGGCGGUGUUCCAGCAUGGCCGCAGUCAAAUGACUGAAACAAGUAAAAGGAAUUAUAUUUACGUAUAUAAUGUAAUUUGUAUAUAUGUAUAUAUUUGUAUGUAUAUAAUGUAUAUGUUUAUGUGUGUUUAUGCAUAUAUGUAUGUACGUGUAUAUAUACGUGUAUACAUGUAUGUAUACAUGUAUGUAUGUGUGUGUGUGUGUGCGUGCGUAUUACUCUUUUACUUGUUUAAGUCAUUUGACUGUGGCCAUGCUAGAGCACCACCAUUAGUCGACCAAAUCGACCCCAGGACUUAUUCUUUGUAAGCCUAGUACUUAUUCUAUCGUUCUCUUGCCGAACCGCUAAGUAACGGGGACGUAAACAUACCAGCAUCGGUUGUCAAGCGAUGUUGGUGGUGGGGACAAAUACAGACACAAACAUACACACUCACACACACACACACACACACAUACACACACACAUAUACAUAUAUACGACGGACUUAUUUCAGUUUCCGUCUAUGAAAUCCACUCACAAGGCUUUGGUCGGCCCGAGGCUAUAGUAGAAGACACUUACCCAAGGUGCCACGCAGUGGGACUGAACCCGGAACCAUGUGGUUCGUUAGCAAGCUACUUACCACGGAGCCAUUCUAUGUACGCAUAUAUGUGUAAUGUAUAUGCAUGUACGUACGCAUAUGUAUGCAUGUAUGUAUGUGGAUGUACGCAGUAUAUAUAUAUAUGUACGUACGUACAUGUAUAUGUAUGUAUAGGCAGACAUUACAAAUAGUCGUACCCCACGGGAAUGAAAAUGGAGACGCAACGGAUUUCAAAAGCAGAAAUGUCAAAAUAAAAAGAUAAAUAAAUAAAAUAAAGAAAUAAAUAUUGUCUCUUUGUUUUUUACGAAAUUGUAAUUUCCGUUAUUCGAAACGCAAAAAUAUUAGAAAAUAUAAAAACGGUUAAAAAAAACAACAACCAAAAAUACUCUUUUCCCUUCCCACGAGACAGCCCUAACCCAACUCACCCCCCCACACACACACACAUGCACACACAUACAGACACGUGUGUGUAUGUGCAUGUGGUUAACAAGCUUGCUCUGCAGCCAUGUGGCUUUUGGUUCAAUCCCACCGCGUGGCACCUUGAACGAGUGUCGUCUGCUGUAGCCCUGGAUCGACCAAUUUUUUAUGAAUGAAUUCGCUAGAGGAGGACUGUGGAAGCCCCUCGUUUGUAUGUAUGUAUGUGUGUGUGUGUGUGUGUGUGUGUGUGUGUUGUGGAGGCGCAACGGCCCAGUGGUUAGGGCAACGGACUAGCCGUCGUAGGAUCGCGGUUUCGAUUGCCAGACCGGGCGUUGUGAGUGUUUAUUGAGCAAAAACAUCUAAAGCUCAACGAGGCUCCAGCAGGGGAGUUUGGCAAACCCUGCUGUACUCUUUCACCACAACUUUCUCUCACACUUUCUUUCUCCCUGUUUCUGCUGUACCUGUAUAUCAAAGGGCCAGUCUUGUUACACCCUUGUGUCACGCUGAAUCUCACCGAGAACUACGUUAAGGGUACACGUGUCUGUGGAGUGCUCAGUCACUUGCAUGUUAAUUUCAUGAGCAGGCUGUUCCGUUGAUCGGUCCAACUGGAACCCUUGUUGUCGUAACCGACGGAAUGCCACAGUAUAUAUAUAUAUAUAUAUAUAUAUAUAUAUAUAAAUGAAAGAAAGAAUGGAGUCGAACGAAGAUUUUAACAAAAUUCCUUUACUCUCGACGCAUGUUUCGAAGACGGCAUACUUUUAAUUCCGAAGGAAUAAAGGGUGCAUUAUGCCAUCUUCUCAUCAGGAAAGAUAAGGUUAAACAAAUUCUCCAUGCUAGGAUAAUUCAUUCACCUACUUAAAUAUCUAUAUCUAUAUAUAUAUUUAUGUUAUAUAAUUAGGGUUCAGUAAAAAAAUUUACUUUACCACACACCGAACUUUUAGAAAUAGCAGCCAAAAAAUUUUAGCUAUUUCUUCUAAUUUAUGUAUACACAUAUAUCAUACAUACACAUAUAUACACAUAUACAUACACGUGUUUGUGUAUGCUCCCCCCACCCGCUCACGGCAUACCUACCGUUGUUGGUUUGUGAUGUGACCAGGUCUUAGUGGUUCGACAAAAGCACAUUGUGAACGAUUUGUACAAGAAAAAUCUUUCAAAGCGGUGCCCCAGCAUGGCCGGAGUCCACUGACUGAACCAAGUAAAAUAUAGAAGAUAUAUACAGUUUCUAGUAUUUCGAAUUUAGUAAAUUUUCGAUUGAAGAAUCGCAAAAACUCGGACUUACAAACAUACAGUGGUUGCAGCGCUGUUCUUUUAUUUGUUUCAGUCAUUUGACUGCGGUCAUGCUGGAGCACCACUUUUCGUCUCACCGGGAGUCCGCCUUCCUUCUCUCUCUCAACGCAUCUCGCAAUAGCUGGCUCACGCCAGAUUUAUGCAUACAAUCUUAUAUAUAAUUGCGAACGAAAACUAGGCGAGGUAAGUUGUCGCAGUCCAAAAGAUGUGGCCAUACUGGAGCGUCUCCAUUAAAUGUAUGUCGCCUCGCCGACGAGGAGUCGAACCCCGAUCUUUCCCAUGACAAGCAGUAUUACUUACCACUGUACUUGUAGAGGACCGGUAUUCAAUACUUUUUUUUUUCUCUUGGUUAUAAAUCCGUGCGUGUGUUUAAUUUACUUAAAUUUACUUAAAUUUUCGAUUGAAGAAUCGCAAAAACUCGGACUUACAACAUACAGUGGUUGCUGCAGCGCUAUUCUUUUAUUUGUUUCAGUCAUUUGACUGCGGUCAUGCUGGAGCACCACUUUUCGUCGAACAAAUAAAACUCCAGGACUUAUUCUUUGUAAGCCUAGUACUUAUUUUAUCAGUCGCUAUUGCCGAAGCGCUAAGUUACCAGGACGUUUUAUUCGGCCCCCAUGCAACUUAGGUUCGAUGAACGACCCUACGAAACUUAAAAGUUACGCGGAGCCAAAUCCGUCUGUUAUAAAAUAAAUAAUAUAUGUAACCGCCAACCGAACGUAUUGAAUGCCAUUUUCUUUCAUUUGUCCACUCAGUCGUGUUAAUGUGUGCGUGUGUGUGUGUACACGAGCUUAUCUAUAUGUCUAAAUAUAACAUGUGACUUCAUUGACCGAGGUUACCGUGGUCUUUUCCGUAGGCUUUUCUUUCCACGGGUAAACCUCACCUGUCCUCCCCUUUACACUUCUUAUUGACAUUUCUGUGAUUACGAUCCCUAUUGAUCAACUUCUUUUUUUCGUCUUCCCUUUUCUUUCUCCCCCCCCCCUUUUUUUUUAAAAAUCCUCCCCUUUUUUUUGUCCUCUUUCUUUCCUUUUACGAUCCCUUUUGAUCGAAAACCAACCCCCUCUUUUUUACGCCAAAAGAAAAGCUCUACCUUGUAAUUUGUUCUGUCUGUGUGCAGCCCUGUGUGGCUAAUGAAGAAACAACAUAUAAUGUAUUUGUGUAUAUUUAUGUACGUUAUGUUUGUUGAUGUUUUAUUGUCAUUGUUGAUUUUGUCAGCAUCGUUUUUUGCUUUAGCUUUUUUUUUAUUAUUUUCUCUCCAAUAUUUAUUCUUUUUUUUUUCAUUAUUAUCUUUUCCCUCCUAUUUUCCUCCCCCCUCUCUCUCUCUCUCUCUUUUUCUUAUUUUUAUUUGCCCUCUUCAACUUCCUUUCCUCCCCAGUUUCCUUACAUUAUACACAUUUCAUUAAAUUAUCCUGAAUGAGUUUCAAUGAUAUAUAUUUUUCACUCGAAGAGACAUUUUUCUUUCCGCAAUAUUGCAAUGCCUAAUAGAGAAAGUUUAGCAAAAAAUCGCCAACACUGCCACCUAACCAGUCGACUGGUGUGUUUUACGGAUGCUUAGAUAAUAUAAUUUUAACAUUAUGACUUACAAGAAAAUGUCAGCCGGUUUCACAGAUCGCGACUGUUUAUAGUACACUUUCGUUCGUUUUACCGAUUUCUUCAUGCUUCGUCUACCUUAAGUCAUUUCACAACUUACCUCGCCUAGUCUUCGUUCGCAAUUAUAUAUAUAAGAUUGUAUGCAUACUUCUGGCGUGAGCCAGCUAUUGCGAGAUGCGUAGAGAGAGAGAGAGAGAGAGAGAGAGAAGGAAGGCGGACUCCCGGUGAGAUGAAUCGGCCUUCCGGUUUCGAUUCCCUGCUGUUAAUAUUACUCUCGAGGAAGGUAUGGGCGGUUGCUUAUAACCAUUUAUCUCCUUUCUGAAACAGCGUGAACUUUUGCCGAAGAACACUUUACAUACAUACAUACAUACAUACAUACAUACAAAUAUGCACGCAUACAUACUGGCACAUAUACGUACACAUAUAUGUAUGUAUGCGUGUGUGUGUGUGUAUAUAUAUAUAUAUAUAUAUAUAUGCGUGUGUAUACACACACACACAUACCAUCAUUUGUGUUGUGUGAAGAGGGUAAAGACGGUUCUCUUUGGUCAGGGUUAGUAUCAUUAUAGCUGGCCCAUAAAGCACCAACAAGCUCCAUAAACAGAUCGCACACGUUACAUAUAUAUAUAUAUAUAUAUAUAUAUAUACAUAUAUAUACACGUGUAUAUAAGUUUGUAUGUUUAUAUAUACAUAUAUAUACAUAUAUACACGUGUAUAUAUGGAGCUUGGCCGUGUGGUUACCAAUAUUGACGUUAUAUGGUUGUAUGUUUAUAUAUAUAUAUAUAUAUAUAUAUAUAUAUAUAUAUAUAUAUACACGUGUAUAUAUGGUUGUAUAUAUAUAUAUAUAUAUAUAUAUAUAUACGUGUAUAUAUGUUUAUAUGUUUAUAUAUGCAUACACACAUGUAUAUGUCUCUAUGUGUGUGUGUGUGUGUAUGUAUGGUAUAUCUAUGUGUAGAUGCUUAUCUCUCUUGGUGCAAUAUUUCAUACUGCAUCUUCUCUGGGAACUGCGACUGAUUGCCAGAGGGUAUCUGCAUCGACUGCUUUCAAAUACCAGAUAAUACAGAAAGCCUAACCUUGAGGGUGACGUCUAAGAAGGUUGUGUUAUCAGAAAGCGCAUAUAUUACCGGAUCCUGUAUACUAUUUAGUGAUUGGUUCGUUUCUCGAGCAAACGCAUGGUUACAAGGGACACUGAAUCAAGGUUACUAAAUUGCAUCUGGGUUUCUCAAGGUUGUCGGCUUUGUAUUGAACAGUAUCCUUUUGAAUCUAGAGUUUUGCUGCUCCAGUUGCUCACACCAAACAUUUGCCAUAUUUUACAAUGCAAUAAAGUAUAUUGUGGUCGCUAAUACUGUUACAUAUAGUGGCCUGGACCAACGUAAAAUGACAUAUUUUGCUCAAGAAAACAACACAAUAACUAGUCCAGAAAUCGAAACCACACGACAUAGCGAUCGUGAGUACCAUACCCCUAAGCACUAGGCUACGCACCUGUUCUUCUAUUCGUUUGGAACGUGAGGAAUACGAAACUGUCUUAUAACAAUUUUUGUGAUUACAGACAAGCUAGAGUUCUUUCAGAUCAGAUAUUAACAAUAAAACAUACUGAACAAUGUUUUCCUAGAUACAUUGUACUUUAAAACACCGCCAUGCAAGGGGCGACAAUGAUGAUGAUGACGACGAUGAUGGCAGUAAUAUGAAUAAAAGGCAAAGCUGACCUCGCUGGGGUUUGAACUCGGAGCAUUGAGAACUAGAAAGAAAACCCCCAAAAUCGUUGUAUCCGAUGAUACCACGCACAUAUAUUUGGACUUGGCUUCUCAAUUCCUGCUGAUCCUUUACUGUGACAUCACAUUUAUCAGGGACCAAAACCGUAUGUUUUCCAUAUCGGAAAAUAACUAAUGCCUUGAGUAGUUGUUCCGUUCUUUUUACCGUUUAGAAUCGACGAUUGCAAAUCAAUUACUGAGGAUAGUCCUCUCUCUCUCUCUGUCUUUCUCUCUCUCCCUCUUUCUCUCUUCUUAGUUGACAACAGAAAGGCGCAGGUGUGGCUGUUUGGUAAGAAGUUUGUAUCCCAACCACAUGCUUCAGAGCUCAGUCCCACUGCGUGCCACCUUGGGCAAGUGUCUUCUACCGUAGCCUCGAGUCUACUAAAGCCUUGUGAAUGGAUUUGGCAGACAGAAACUGAAAGAAACCCGUCAUAUAUAUAUAUAUAUAUAUAUAUAUAUAUAUAUAUAUUCCAAAUUUGCAAAAAAACAAAAGACGAUGACAGACAAAGGAACAACAAGCAGGUGUAUUAGUUUGAUGCUCAGGGAGAAUGGAAAUGUCUUUGAUGUUUCGGGCCUACGCUCUUCGGCAGAAAGGGAUGAGAGGAAUAAAAUGAUGAGAGAAUAAAUGGGCAAGACCUCCGCCCCCCCACAAAAAAAAAACACCCUUAAAAUUUUUUUUUUCGACACAACCCCACACUUUUCGGCUACGGGGAAUACGAAUCUGCAAAAAAAAAUUGGGAAAAUCGACAUUUCCAAAUUACCACUCCACCUCUAUUUCCUUCAUUUUUAACUUUUUAUACGAUUUUUUUCGAAAAUAUGCAGAAAAAUACGGAGAUUAUGAUACUGAAAAAAAUUUCCAAAAAUCUUUUAAAAAAUUUUAUUUUGGGAAUUUUUUUUUUUUUUUCCUAAAUAUGCGGAAAAAUACGGACAUCAUGAUUCGGACAAAAAUUUCAAAACAUUUCUGUACUUAUGGUUAGGGUUUUAGGGUUAGUGUUGGGGAAAAAAGUCAAAAUUAAAGAAGUUGGGGGGAUGUGGGGGAAAUUUCACAGUACCGAUUUUUGGCAAUUUUCCGAAAUUCCGUAUCCGAAAACGGGGAUAUGUGGCAAAAAAAAAAAAUUGGGAGAAAAUGGGGCGGGGACGGGCGGAAAAUGUGUAGGGAUUAAGAGUAAAAAGAGAGAAAAUGGUCAAGGUAUUAAGGUACGAAGUUCAGAAAGUUUAGAAGUCGUGGUAGAUUAGUUCGAUUUAUACAUUAACGAAAGUAGCCAGUAAAAUCCACAGUGGUAGAGUCCGAAAGGGUACGCAGAUCCAGUGGUAAUCCGGGUGGAGUGAUUGUCAGGUGGAUGAAAAGAGGUACUGAAAGUUCAAAAAGAUAUAUGUAUGUGUGUGUCCUUGUUUGUCCCGCGCCACCGCUUGACAACCGUUGUUGGUUUGUUAACGUACUCAUGACUUAGUGGUUUGGCAACGGAGACCCGAUAGAAUAAACAUACCAGACUUAAAAACAAAUACUGGGAUCGAUCUGUUGGACUACACUCUUCAAAGCAGUGCCCCAGCAUGGCCGCAGUUCAAUGACUGAAACAAGUUAAAGAUAAAAGAUGUAUAUUACGCUAUCUCUCUAUAUAUAAACGGCAGUUUGUCUGUGUGUGUGUCUGUGUGUCUGUCAGGUUGUACCCUCACCCUGACCAUGGCUUUCAACCGAUUCUGAUGAAACUUGACACACACAUAGCCCAAUGUCAUAAUUCAAAACUAACGCAGCGAAAAUUUUGGAAAGUUCCCCCAGUUCUGAAAAAAAUCGAUAAAUUCGACAUGGGGUCAAGAAUCAGAAACACAAACCACAGACAGUCUAGGGGACGCAACUCGACCUUUUUAACUCUCAAAAAAAAUUUACCAUCAUUUUUUUCCCAUUUUUUUCUAUUUUUUGGCUAUAACUCUCUAAAAAUGCUUUAUAGUUAUUUCCCUUACAAACCCGAGCAACGCCGGGCGAUACUGCUAGUAUAUAUAUAUAUAUGUAUGUAUAAGGUUCCGGGUUCAGUCCCACUGCGUGGCACCGUUGGGCAAGUGUCUUCUACUAAAGCCUCGGGGCCGACCAAAGCCUUGGGAGUAGAUUUGGUAGACGGAAGCUGAAAGAAGCCCAUCGUAUAUACAUAUGUGUGUGUGUGUGUGUGUGUGUCUAUCUGUCUGUCCUCCCACCACCACCACCAUCGCUUGACAACAGAUGUUGGUGUGUUUACAUUCCCGUAACUUAGCGGUUCGGCAAGAGAGAUCGAGAGAAUAAGUACUAGGCUUACAAAUACUAAAAGCCGGUGCUCCUGCAUGGCCACAGUCAAAUGACUAAAAGAAUAAAAGAACAUAUAUAUAUAUAUAUAUAUAUAUAUAAAACUCACACAGAUAUAUAGAUAGAUAGAUAGAUAGAUAGAUAGAUAGAUAGAUAGAUAGAUAGAUAGAUAUUUAUAUUAUCAUUUAAAAAAAAAAACGAAAACAGCCAGUUAACUUCUCAUUGCCAACCAGACGUCACAUUCAAUUUGCACAAUAAGAACAUUUUUCAAGAAACUUUUUAUCUUAUUUUAGUAACUAAAAUAAUGGCUUGCGGCAUACGUCAGCGGUUAUUAAAAUUUGGAACGGGUCCCUUCACACACACACGCAUUAGUAUGUGUGUGUGUGUCCACAUAUAUAUAUAUAUAUAUAUAUAUAUAUAUAUAUAUAUAUAUAUAUAUACACGUAUAUGCAUGUAUACACACACACACAAAGAUAGAUAGAUAGAUAGAUAGAUAGAUAAUGAAUGCUCUCAAGACAUCCAUCAAAAUAUAUUUCGACGCACAUAUUUUAUAUUCUGGUCGGUGUGUACAACCUCGGGAAACGGUGUUAUUACAAAACGUAUUAGUUUCAUAAACAUAUAUAACAAAAAAAAAAACAAAAAAAGGAUUUAAAUAACAUGUAGAGAAAACGAUUGAAACACAAAAUAUUAAAGCUAAAUUAUACAUGUAUAAUAAACCUCUAGAAAUGAAUAUACAGUAAACAUCGUAAAAGCAUAACUUAAAUUUUCUUUAUUACCAAUAUAAUAUACAAAGCAAGCAACAGCUCCCAUAUCGCCGUCUUCAUCAAAGUGUGAGAUUUUUUUCAUUAGAGUCAAAAUAUAUCCCAGCUAAAAAUCCGUUAAAUUUUUGGCUCGAAAUAUUCGACUCACAGGCAGAAAUACCAAAACAUAUUUCGCUAAAUUUAUAACAUUAGCGAGAUGUUGUAGCGCAUAAUAUUGUCGUCGUUGUCGUCGUCGUUUUCUUCUUCUUCUUCUUCUCUUUUGCUCUCUUUUUUUUCUCUUCUUUUCUUUUUCUUCUUUCCUUCUUAUUCUUCUUUUCUUCUCUUUUGCUAUCUUCUUCGACUUCCUUUGCUCUCUUCUUCUUCUUUUUCUUCUUCUCUUUUGCUCUCUUCUUCGUCUUCUUCUCUUUUGCUCUCUUCUUCUUCUUCUUCUUCUCUUUUGCUCUCUUCUUCUUCUUCUUCUUCUUCUUCUUCUCCUCUUUCGCUCUCUUCUUCGUCUUCUUCUCUUUUGCUCUCUUCUUCUUCUUCUUCUUCUUCUCCUCUUUCGCUCUCUUCUUCGUCUUCUUCUCUUUUGCUCUCUUUUCUUCUUUUGCUCUCUUCUUUUUCUUCCUCCUCGCCGUCGUUGUCUUUUUCUUCGUCCUUAUCUUCUUCGUUCAUCGUUUUCUUCGUCUUUUCCUUCAUGGUUUCCCCCCCCCCCAUCAUUUUCUUCUACCUUUCCUUCUUCUUCUUCGUUUUCUUAAAUCUUCUUCCUCUGCUUUAUAUUUCUCUUAGCCAUGUCUUUUUUUCCCCCGCCUUCCAUGCAUGUUCGGCAGAUUAAAAGUUGAGCAUCGGUUUACUUAAAACCUCCGUAUCUACGUCUCUUGUCGUAAAUGAUUAACGCUGAGAUUAUUAUUUAAAACAAGACUGGUUAAAUUGCCACCAUAUACAAGCAAAGUACACAACUAGAAAAUACAUUCUAGGCGGUAUUUACAAAUAAAAGAGAUAAUUAAAAUGUAUCUUGGUACAUAUUUCAAUUUCAGUUUAUUUCAUGGAGACGGAGAUGAAUAUUGGAAAAUAGUUGUAUUACGCAGUAUCUAUCUAUCUAUAGAUACAUGGAGGUACAUGGCCUAGUGGUUAGAGUAGCGGACUCGCGGUCGAGGAAUCGUGGGUUCGAAUCUCAGACCGGGCGAUGUGUGUGUGUUUUAUGAGCAAAACACCUAAGCUCAUCGCGAACUUCUGCUGACUCUUUCGCCACAACUUUCUCUCAAUCUUUCCUCCCGCAGCUCACCUGCGAUGGACCGGCGUCCCAUCCAGGUAGGGAACAUAUACGCCAAGGAAACCGGGAAACCGGCCCUUAUGAGCCAGGCGUGAUCCGAAAGGAACAAACAAGUUCCGUAAAUUUGCAAAGAAAAUAUAUACGCGUUGUAAAAAUGUCUUGAAAUUCAAAUAUAGCCUGGUACUUAGUCUAUCGGUUAUUUUGCUGAACCGCUAGGUUAUUGGAACGUAAAUAAACUAACACCUGCCAUCAAGCGGUUGGGGCGCGCAUGCAUACAUGCUCACUCACACACGCAUUGUAGGCUUCUUUCAGUUUCCGUCUACCAAAUCUACUCUCUAGGCUUUGCUUGACUCGGGGCAAUAGUAGAAGAUUCUUGCCCUAAAUGCUGUGCAGUGAAACAGAACCUAAGACUAUACCGUUGGGAAACAAGCUUCGCAACCACACAGCCGCCCUGGUGUCUAUACGUAACAACAGUGAAUCGAUAGUUUCGAUCUGCCGACCUCUGGGUUAUGUGUCCAGCCCGCUUCCCCUGCACCACUCUGCGUGUAUGUAUGUUUGUAUAUAUAUAUAUAUAUAUAUAUAUAUAUAUAUAUAUAGUGUGUGUAUGUAUGUAUCUGUGUGUAUAUGUAUGUAAUUGUGUGUAUGUGUACAUAUAUAUAUGUACACAUACAAACACCCACGCAUACAUUUACACACACAUAUAUAUAUACAUACAAACACCCACACAUACAUACAUAUAUAUUAUAUAUAUUUAUAUUAUAUAUAUAUCCCAUAUAUAUAUAUAUUAUAUAUGUAUAUGUAUAUAUACUAUAUCUCUGUUGUUUUGUAAAGUCUCGGCUGUAUAAUUAAUUCAGACAGUAUUGUGUUGAAAACCAAUCAAAGCCGAUUCGAUCUUGUGCAGAAAUAUGCAAUUUUCAUUACGUUCGGCGAUAUACUCUCUCCACAAAUGGAUUUUUGUUUUGUUUUUGUUUUUGUUUUUGUAGUCCGGCUACGGAAACUGUAAGCAGAUGUGUUUACUGACAUUGAUAAAUAUGUCUUGAUACGAGAGGUGAGAUCUUUUCCCAUGGGUAGAGAUAUAAAUAUACGUUUUAUAAUAUACACAACCAUUUUACAGAAUGGGCAUUUCCCACGCUAUCCUCAAGCUGAAUAUUGCUUUUAGUUGUUCGUACAUAGCGUCAUUCUUUUCAUUAGUCUGAGUGGUGUUUUAAAAAGAAAAGGGACAUGGACACUCUCCUGUCCCCUUUCACUAAUUUUUAAUGAAAAAAACAAAUAGACUGACAACCAACAAAGCUCCUUUGCUAAUUAUUACUUAGAUUUGUGUCUCUUGUGAGCACCAGGACCCAUAAAGCCUGACUGAGCUUAACUUCGUUUCUAUAGCAAAUGAGUGAGACUGCAACACUCUUCGCUGAAAGGUUUUAAUCCAUCAUUUUGUUUGUUGUUAACACAACGUUUCGGCUGAUAUUCCCUCCAGCCUUCAUCAGGUGUCUUGGGGAAAAUUUCGAACCUGGUUUCUCAUUCUCAUAUGGCGUAGUGGUUAAGAGUGCGGGCUAUUAACCCCAAGAUUCUGAGUUCGAUUCCAAGCAGUGACCUGAAUAAUAAAUAAUAAAGCAUCGAAAAACACCUUAGGAAUGAGAACCCAGGUUCGAAAUUUCCCCAAGACACCAGAUGAAGGCCGGAGAGUAUAUCAGCCGAAACGUUGUGUUAACAAUAAACAAGAUGAGGACAAAUCCGUCAAAUGUAAAUAAUGUACAUGGUUGUCACUUUAUUCGCUAGCAAUAGAAACCAAAUCUCUGUCAAAUCACCCUAUUUCCCUCUUUCCCCCUCUCUCUUUUCUUGUGCCAUGCCUACAGGGGGCGCUGAUUAUGUACCUCCCUGUCAAAGUCUGCAGAUAUUUUAUUUUCUCUGAGGAAGACACACCCAUCGCCCUCUUCAGCUUUACGCUUAAAUCACAGACCCUAUUUGAUCCUUACGGAGGGGACUGGUUGAUUUCACAUCGGGGUAUGUCAACUGGGUAAUGUUGUUCUAGAAAUAUAUCUGGAAAAAAAAAUCCCACAAGAUAGCCCUAGCUAUAAUAUCUUUGAUCAGGCCACUUAUAGUUCUACUACUACUACUACCACCACCGCCAUCACCACACUACCAUCACUACUACUACUACCCCCACCGCCAUCACCACACUACCAUCACUACUACUACUACCCCCACCCCCCACCAUCACUACUACCACUACCAUUAUCACCAUCAUUACAACUACUAGCACCACCACCACUACUACUACCACCCCACCAGCAUACUACCACCACCACUACCAUCAUCACCAUUACUAGCACCACCAUCACCACAACCACUUCUACUACUACUACAACCACAACUAUUAGCACCAUCACACUACCAUCACUGCAACUACUACCACCACCACCACCACCAUCACUACCACUACAACUACUAUCACCACCACACCAUCACUACUACUACUACUACGACUACCUCUACUACAACUACAACCACCACCACUACUACUACUACUACUUUUUACUGGUUACUCAUUAGCCAAUACAAGGAAACAAUGGUGUGAAGUUUUGAGAGAGAGAUGAGUACUAGAAAUAACCGGUAGGUGUGACCUGGUUGGUCAAAGAGAAUUGGAGGAAGUCUGGCAUCAGAAGCACUUGUUAAGAAAGAAGGACCCUUUUCCUCAAACGGUUUUGCUUCCUUUCACUAACAAUAUAAACAGCUUCCGAUCUCGUCAUUGCAGACAACUUCGUUAGUUAUUUGACUCCGCGUUUUUUUUUCUCUACAUCCUCUCCACAUUUUGGGGAAGGUUGUCUUCAGUUUUGAAUAAUGAAAGGAGCGAUAACAAUGGAGUGGUCGUUAUAGAAGGAAGGGACAUUGUUUCAUAUUCUUUGUUACAUUUUAUUUUUAUGUUUGUUUUUUUUGUUUUUGUUUUUUUUUUACCUUUUGUUUAGCUUUCCUUCUUAUUAGCGAAUAUUUAUAUGGUACUAGUAGCAUAGACUGGACCCGGUUUGCGCACACGAGCAGACGCGUGUCCGCGCUAGCCAGACAUAGGCAGUCGAUCCUAAGAGCUGACUGGCGCAUGCACGAUAUAUACUUGCAUCGAUAUAUACGAUAUAUACUUGUAUAUAUCGUAUACAAGUAUAUAUCGUAUAUAUCGAUACAAGUAUAUAUCGUGCAUGCGCCAGUCAGCUCGUAGGAUCGACUGCCUACGUCUGGCUAGCGCGGACACGCGUCUGCUCGUGUGCGCAAACCGGGUCCAGUCUACGCUACUAGUACCUAUAUAAUAUAUAUAUAUACAUAUAUUCGCUAACAAUUGCAAAACGUUGACUAUUCAAAUUUCUUUGUUAUUGGCAUCGAGUUAUGUCCCUUCUCGGUCUGAAUUGAACGCCAUUUGUUAAUUUGUCUUUCGUUAUAUUAUGUGGUUGAUAAAAUGUAAUACCUGUUAAUAAACGCGUUCGAUUUAAUCGGUUAUUUCACUCACCCACAAACACAUUGUGGUCCUCCCUUUAAAAAGAAAAAACAAAAUACGAAAACUUUAAAGGAAGUUUUGUAAGGCAAAAUGCUUAUAGGCGCAGGAGUGGCUGUGUGGUAAGUAGUUUGCUAACCAACCACAUGGUUCCGGGUUCAGUCCCACUGCGUGGCAUCUUGGGCAAGUGUCUUCUGCUAUAGCCCCGGGCAGACCAAUGCCUUGUGAGACGGAAACUGAAAGAAGCCUGUCGUAUAUAUGUAUAUAUAUAUAUUUAUGUGUGUAUGUGUGUGUAUGUUUGUGUGUCUGUCUCCUUAGCAUUGCUUGACAACCGAUGCUGAUGUGUUUACGUCCCCGUCACUUAGCGGUUCGGCAAAAGAGACCGAUAGAAUAAGUACUGGGCUUACAAAGAAUAAGUCCCGGGGUCGAUUUGCUCGACUAAAUGCGGUGCUCCAGCAUGGCCGCAGUCAAAUGAUUGAAACAAGUAAAAGAGUAAAGAGUAUAGCAUUCUUUCCGACUCUUUAACAUUCUGAGGCCAAACUCCGCCGAGCUCAACUUUCCUUUUCAUUUUUUCGGAGGUCGAUAAGAUAAGUACCAGGCAAGAACUGUGGCAGAUGUAGUCGACCAAGGCCUCGCCUACUAAAAUUGCUGGCUUUCUGCCAAAAUUUAAAAUCACUAUUGAUAUUAGCAGAAUCAUUUGAUCGUCGGCCAAAACAACCCUUGCAGUUUUUUGCUUUUCAUCCUUUUUUGGGGGGUCAAUGAAAUAAGUAUCGGUCGAGUACUGGGGUCAGAUGAAACAGACUAGUCCCCCUUCCCAAAAAUUUCAGGCAUUUAUGCCUACAGUGGAAUAGAUUACUAUUACUAUGAACGCUAUUAAGUGCCAAUUUAAUUAGCAUUGAAAUCUAUGCUAAUUAAAUUGGCCCGUAAUGCUGAGGUUUGGUGACAACAAGUCUCCUCAAAUCUCAAGAAUUUUUGUUGGUAUUCUUGCAGGAUACUUCUUGGAAUUUGUUUUUGCAAGAACAAUACGGGUCUCAUUUCUAGUAACCUUCAUCCUCAGGGUGUUGUACCAAGCAACACAAGCAGCAUCAGCCGCAGCGGAUCUUGUUCUCAUUGUUGUUUAGCACCAGAUCAACUUUGAUGCUAUUCUGUGUUCCAGCCAUCAUCAUGUCUUUUAGUUAGGAAUAGUGUACCCCAGGCUAAGAGAAUGUGGAUCCAGAGAGAUAGAUUUUGGCUGCUAUUUCUAGCUAGCUGAGCGUUUAUAUCGCUGCUUCAUUAAAUCAUUCAAGUUGUUGUUUUGCUUAGAGACCCUAACAAUCAGCCCUGAUUGAGCAGACAUGAUAAAUGGGAUUCCAGUCGUGUUUGUUUGUUUGUUUGUUUGUUUUCCUUAAUCGAGUGUAGAACAACUGAUAUCAUACCUGUCAUAUGGCAGGGGGGGGGGUUGCGGUAGAGUGUGUGAUGUGAGGGAGAUUUGCCUACUGUUUCUAACGGCAUCCUGGCUGAGUUUAACAGGUGUAAAAUUUCAGCAAGAAUCAUCGGUGUUGGAAAUAAAUGUGUGUGCAUCUGAUUGUGGUUGGGUUAAUAGAAGAGAGAAAAGGACAGAGAAGGAGAAUAAGAAAGAGAGAGAGAGAGAUGGAGAAGAAGAAGGGGAAUAGAGGUGCGGGCGGGGUGGGGUGGGGUGUGGGGGUUGAUGUUACUAUUAAUUCGUAAUUUGUAAAGGAAAUUAAACACGAUGAUAGAGCGUUAGCGUGAGGGGAAAUAAAUGAGGUGGCGUUGUCGUUGUUAUUGCUCUUGUGGUUGUUGUUGUUGUUGUUGUUGUUGUUAGCGGUGGUGGUGAUAACGAGAGGCAAGGCAACAGAGAAAACCAGCUGAUAUUUCUAUCUCUUCCUUUAUUUUCCUUUCGUAUAUAUGUUCAUUUCAUAUAUGCACAUGCAUAUGUAUAUAUACAUACAUACACACAUCUACACAUACACGUGUUUCAUAUAUAUAUAUAUAUACAUACAUAUAUAUGUGUGUGUGUGUGUGUGUGUGUGUGUGUGUGUGUGUGCGUGUUUGUGUGUGCAUGUGUGCAUAUAUUAGUAUGUUUCUAUAUAUGUGUAUGUAUUCGUAUGCGCAUGUGUGUAUAUAUAUAUAUGCUGAUCUAUAUUUGUAUGUCUGUAUGUAUAUAUGUGUAUAUAUGUUUGUGUGCGUGUAUAUAUAUAUAUAUAUAUAUAUAUAUAUAUGUGUGUGUGUGUGUGGCUGUGUGUAUGUAUGUGUUUGUGUGUGCAUGUAUGCAUAUAUUUGUAUGUUUCUUUGAAUGUACAUGUAUUCAUAUGCGCAUGUGUAUAUAUGUUUGUGUGCAUGUGCGUGUGUGUAUAUAUAUGUGUGUGUGUGUGUAUGUGUGUAUAUAUAUAUAUAUAUAUAUACAUAUGUGUGUGUGUGCGUGUGUUUGUGUAUGUGUGUGUGUGUAAUUACGUAUAUGUUGGCGCGCAUGUGUGUGCAUUUGGUGCAAGAUGCGAGUGUCAGUUCAGUAAUGCCUAUUUUUAAUGACGAACAAAAAGGAUGAGGAUGGUGACGAUGACUACGAUGACGACGACGAUGACGAUGACAAAAAUAACAGCAGUAACAAAUAGAUCAUGCAACACUAAGGAAAUUGCAGCUGCAGCAACAUUAACGACAGCAACAACAGCAAGAAUAGUAAGUCCUGCCAAAACAACAACACCAACUUCAAAAUAGUAACUAUGAUGAAGUCAUCAUCAUAAUUAUCGUCAUUAUCACCAUCAUCACUAAGAAGAAGAACAACAACAACAACAUCAAUGAUAACAAGAACAACAUCCAUGGCCACCUCUUUUGCCAUAUUUGGGCCCGUCUCCAAACAUAAAUAAUAAAACAAAACGAAAGAAGGAAAUUGAAAAUAUAAUGAACGAAUAUAUUAUUACGUUGGUAGUAGAAUCGUUAAGACAUUCGGGCAAAAUGCUUACGGGUUUUCGUCCGUUUUUUUUUACGUUCUGAGUUCAAAUUCCGCCGAGGUCGACUUUGCCUUUCAUCCUUUCGGGGUCGACUCAUCCCCUCCCCCAAAACUGCUGCACUUGUGGCAAAACUUGAAAUUAAAGAGUCCAGAAGCUGGCUACCCGCAUGGUUCUUGGUCUCAAGCAUUUGUCUUAUGAAGAAAGGCUGAAGACGCUCGACCUUUAUUCUCCAGAAAAACGACGACGCCGUGGUGAUCUCAUUGUUGCUCACAACAUCAUAAGCGGAAAGUGUAACCUCUCGAAAGAGCUGUUCUUCACUCCUGCUCCAGGACGUCGGCUGCGGGAUCACUCCGAAAAGCUCUAUCUGCGACGAUUUCAUCUCAGUCGAAGGGGAGGGGCUUUCUCCGUCCGGGUUGCGAAUCCGUGGAAUAAGCUGCCGGACGAGAUAGUGAAGAUGCCGACGACCGCUCGGUUCAAAGUCUCCCUUGACCACAAAUGGCCUGAACUCUUUGCAUGAACAUCACCCCGUACAUAACUCCAUGUCCCCCUACAUGGCCUUGCUUUUUGCUGUUUGAGCCCAAAACUUAACUUAACUUAAACAAAUAUAUGUGCCGUUGGAUGACGGAAUCGAUACGGCAAAUAAUAACAAAAAAAAAAAAAAAAUUGUGAUGUUAGGUCGCCGUCAAUUGUCCCUCGGUGCUUACGUUCACAGUUUUUUUCUUCUUUUUCUUACGAGGUCAAUACAAAAAGUAUCAUAUAAAAAACUGGGGUUUCUGGUUUCAAAAUACAUACAGAAAUACUCUUUUACUGGUUUCAGUCAUUUGACUGUGGCCAUGUUGGAGCACCACCUUUAGUCGAGCAAAUCACCCCCAGGACUUAUUCUUUGUAAGCCUAGUACUUAUUCUAUCGGCCUCUUUUGCCGAACCGCUAAGUUACGGGGGACGCAAACACACCAGCAUCGGUUGUCAAGCGAUGUUGGGGGGACAAACACAGACGCACAAACAUAUACACACACACAUGCAUAUAUAUAUAUAUAUAUAUAUAUAUAUACGACAGGCUUCUUUCAGUUUCUGUCUACCAAAUCCGCUCACAAGGCUUUGGUCGGCCCGAGGCUAUAGUAGAAGACUCUUGCCCAAGGUGCCACACAGUGGGAAUGAACCCGGGACCAAACCUGAAAGCGGAGGCUAGAGCAUGACAACCGUCUCAGUGAUUGAAAUUAGUGAAAGAAUGAAACGAUACAUGCGCACGCAUUCACAUACAUUGUGUGUGUGUGUGUGUGUGUUUGCAAAUUUAUAUUUGCCCUCGCAGGUGUGACUCUGUGGUUUCUGGUUCGAUGCCACUGUGCGGCACCUCGAGCAAGUGUCUUCUGUUAUAACUCUGGCCCUUCCAAUAUCUUGUGAGUGAAUUUGGUUGACGGAAACUAUAUGGAUGCUUCACGUGUCUAUAUAUAUAUAUAUAUAUAUAUAUAUGUAAAUGUGUGUGUGUGUGCGUGUUUGUGUGUGCGCGCGCACACGUUUGCUUCAUUCCCACCAUUGUUUGACGACUGGUUUUGGCUUGUUUACGUCUCCGUGACUUAGCGAUUCGGCAGAAGUUGUCGAUAGAUUAAGUACCAGACUUUAAAAAAUUGAGUACUAGUGUCCAUUUGUUCGAGCAAUGCCUUCGUGAUCGGUGCCCCAGCAUGGGCUGCAGUCCAAUGACCGAAGUAACAAAAAGAAGAUAUAUAUGCAUGCCCUCUCUGUUUGUCUGUCUGUCUGUCUCCUCUUAUUUCUUUAUUGCCACAAAGGGCUAAACAUAGAGGGAACAAAUAAGGACAGACAAACGGAUUAAGACGAUUACGUCGACCCCAGUGAGUAAAUGGUGCUUAAUUUAUCGACCCCGAAAAGAUGAAAGGCAAAGUCGACCUCGGGGGAAUUUGAACUCAGAACGUAACGGCAGGCGAAACACCGCUAAGCAUUUUGCCCGGCGUGCUAACGAUUCUGCCAGCUCGCCGCCUCUCUCUUGUUAGAUGACAACAGUGGCUGUGUGGUAAGAAGUUUGCUUCUCAACCACAUGCUUUAGGGUUCAACCUCACUGCGGGCCACCUUGGAGGCAAGUGUCUUCUACUGUAACCUCGGGCCCCACCAAAGCCUUGCGAGUGGAUUUGCUAUACAGAAACUGAAAGAAGCCCGUCAUGUGUAUGUGUGUGUGUGUGUGUGUGUGUGUGCCCUCCCCCUCUCCCUUCUCUCCUGUCUCUUCCGUAUUCGCGAACAUGUAAUCGCUGUGGGCACUUAUACAAAACUUAAAUACGAGAACGUUAAUAUCAAACUUAAUCUACAUAUAUAGAGGUUUGCAAACACAAACCAUAAUAGUUUAUUUAUCUAAAAUAUCACAAAAAUAUCACUUACACACGUAAAUACCUCUUCAAGCAUAUAUCACAAUACAUACAUACCUAUAUGCGUAUAUUUACAAAAUUUUGUCAUGAUUAUUUUUCUUUCGUCGGUCUUAUUUUAUUUAUUCUUCAUUUAUUCAUUUUUUUUCUUUUGGUAAAAUAUCUUCACAUGAUACAUAGAUUACGCUAUAUCUAACAUAUAUAUGAUUUUAAUGUUCGUAUCUAAACACGCAUGUUUGUAUAAAGGUGAUUUUAUUUGUCUCUGCGCAUGUUAUAUAUAUAUAAUAUGCAGAUACGUAACUUAUAUACAUAAGUAUGUAUAUUUACGUACGUUUAUGUACAUAUAUACCUGUGUAUAUUUUUAGUGUAUUCUCCUUAAAAACAUCUAUUUCCUAAAUUUACACUUGGUAUACAUUUUCUCGAUAUUUAUAUAAUUCUAUCGAUUAAAAUUCUAUUCAAACAAUUGCUUUCGAUUUUAGUGUCCAAAUUUCUUUUCCCAAAAUAUAUUUUAUAUCCUCAUUGAAGGCAAAAAAAAAAAUAUAAUAAUAAAGGAAUAAAAAUAUAUAUAUAUAUAUAUAUAUAUAUAUAUAUAUAUAUAUUGGUUUCUUAAAAAUGUUAAGUCGAAGUAUAUGUUUUACCCUCUACGUAUCUAUCUAUCUAUCUAUCUAUCUAUCUAUCUAUCUAUCUAUCUAUCUAUCUAUCUAUCUGCCUCUCGAUCUAUCUAUCUAUCUGCCUCUCGAUCUAUCUAUCUAUCUAUCUGCCUCUCGAUCUAUCUAUCUAUCUAUCUGCCUCUCGAUUAUCUAUCUAUCUAUCUGCCUCUCGAUCUAUCUAUCUAUCUAUCUAUCUGCCUCUCGAUCUAUCUAUCUAUCUAUCUAUCUAUCUAUCUAUCUAUCUAUCUAUCUAUCUAUCUAUCUAUCUAUCUAUCUGUCUAUCUAUCUGCCUCUCGAUCUAUCUAUCUGUCUAUCUGCCUCUCGAUCUAUCUAUCUAUCUGUCUAUCUGCCUCUCGAUCUAUCUAUCUGUCUAUCUAUCUGCCUCUCGAUCUAUCUAUCUGUCUGUCUAUCUUUGUGUGUGUAUUUCCAUACACACAUACAUAAAUGUAAAAUGCUCUAAUGUAUUCCUGCUGGUGUGUGUGUGUAUACACACACACAUAUAUAUAUAUAUAUAUAUAUAUAUAUAUAUAUAUAUAUAUGCUUCUCUUUCUGUAGGGUGUAUUUGUGUGAAUAAGUACACACACAAUGAUUUAAGAGGAAAUGAACAUGAAAAAUUUUGCUAUAUCUUACGUGUUGCAAAGAUAUAUUUUUGUCAUUUCCGCUCCUAAAUCCUAGUUUUAUCUUCUCAAAAUCUGACUCAUUUCGACAUAUUUUCAAUUAUAAUAUUCUUAAUUAUCCAUUUCUUAAAAUAAUUUUUGUUCUCUAACAAAAGGCAAACCAUCUUUGUGGGCAAGGACGUGGAAGAAGAGAAAUCAACAUCACUUUUUUUUUACUCUCCCGAUAUUGAUACGAUACGCAUCACCGUUCGAAAACUGCAGUCGAUUUGUUUCAGUCCUACUCAAACAUAGGGUUUUUUUUUUUUCUAUGAUCGACGAGGCAUAUCGUUCUAUUUCUUUACUACCCACAAGAGGCUAAACACAGAGGGGACAAACAAGGACAGACAAACGGAUUAAGUCGAUUAUAUCGACCCCAGUGCGUAACUGGUACUUAUUUAAUCGACCCCGAAAGGAUGAAAGGCAAAGUCGACCUCGGCGGAAUUUGAACUCAGAACGUAGCGGCAGACGAAAUACUGGUAAGCAUUUCGCCCGGCGUGCUAACGUUUCUGCCAGCUCGCAUAUCGUUCGCCUUUCAAAUUCCGCCGAGGUCGUCAACUAUGCCUUUCAUCCUUAAGGGGGCAAUAAAGUAUGUAACCAGUUGAGCAUUGAGAUCGAUAUAAUCGAUUAAGCCUCUCUCAACCACUUGCUAACCACUUGCCAAAAUUUGAAACCAGGCCUGUCUUGUUAUUUAAGCUAAAGAGAAAAGAAGUAACAAGACAGAAAAAUUUUAGUAUGAGGUUUUUUUCUGCUGUACUAUGUGUACUUCUAUACAAAACGAUUACCUUUCCCGCAGCUUCCCUCUAAAUACUCUCUUUUUACUCUUUACUCUUUUACUUGUUUCAGUCAUUUGACUGCGGCCAUGCUGGAGCACCGCCUUUCGUCGAGCAAAUCGACCCCGGGACUUAUUCUUUGUAAGCCCAGUACUUAUUCAUCGGUCUCUUUUGCCGAACCGCUAAGUAACGGGGACGUAAACACACCAGCAUCGGUUGUCAAGCAAUGCUAGGGGGAGAAACACAGACACACAAAACACACACACACGCAUUAUAUAUAUAUAUAUAUAUAUAUAUAUAUAUAUAUAUAUAUAUAUAUAUACGACAGGCUUCUUUCAGUUUCUGUCUACCAAAUCCACUCACAAGGCAUUGGUCGACCCGAGGCUUUAGCAGAAGACACUUGCCCAAGAUGCCACGCAGUGGGACUGAACCCGGAACCAUGUGGUUGGUUAGCAAGCUACUUACCACACAGCCACUCCUGCGCCUAUGCGUACUUCUAUACAAAACGAUUACCUUUUCUGCAGCUUCCCUCUAAAUACUGUCUACAAUGUUUUAGGGUUUUUUUUAAAUUAUUUUCCUUAAUUAUUUUUAUCUAAUACAACUAUUAUAGAUAUCAGGUGGCAGCUGUUAUUCAUUAUAAUUUAAUGUAAAGCUAGUCAAAGGCUUAGUACUCCAGCCUUGUCAAAAUAGGAAGCUAAUUGGAUACCCUAGAAUCGUAUUACAUAGUGGUAUUACUGUCGGUUUUUCAUAAUGAAUAUAAUUUCAAGUAGCGCUUAUAAAUUACUUUUUAUUAAUAUGAAAUUCGUUACUGCUCUAGAACAUGGAGCGGAAUUCUCACACAUGCUAUACCUUAUAGAGGUCCCCAGUUUCUCUCUCUCUCUCUAGUCUCUCCCUCUCACUGUAUAGAAAGAUAGGAACAAGUGUGUGAAUAAGUGUUUGAGUGAGUGUGUAUAAAUAAAUACCCAUACAUAUAUGUUAAUUUUUACAAAGAGAAGUCUGGUAGUUGCAUCAAAGUUUCACUCUUAUGGUGACAGUUAAUAAGCUGAAACUUCGGAGUCACUGACAACCAAUUUCUUUGUCAAAUACUGGAGUGAUCUCUCAGUUUAAUGUAUAACAAUUAAGGCACUGCUCGAGCAUGGGCACAGCGAAAUGACUGAAGCAAGUAAAAGAAUAAAGCCUGGAUCUUUUCAGUUUGAACGGCAGUUUUUCUAGCGGUGUCAUAUGAAAUUGUCACCCAUAAUUAUGACCCUAGAAUCGAUCUAUUGCAUUUCAAUCUCUUUUAGGGUUAGGGUUGGUUAGGGGUGGGGGAAGGGUAUCUUUUUUUCUUCAAAUGUAAAUAAACCCAAUCUGUUUCUUAAACGAGGGACAUAUUCAUACGGCACAGAAUGCUUUUUAACUCAAUAGACGUCACUGAUUGGUUGAAAUUGCAGAAAUUGAAGAAGAAAAAACAACAAAUAUCUUACAAACUAUAGAAUUUUCUCAAUAAAGCCAAGAGAAAAAGAUGUUUUAUAAACACAUUCUACCAGUAUACUAAGUUUAAAAUUUUUUAGUUACCUAGAAAUUAUGUUAAAAACUGCCGUUCAAAUGGAAAAGAUCCUAAAAACCUUUUUAUUAUUAUGCAUACAUUCAUACGUGUGUGUGUGUGUGUGUGAUGGUGUUGUUUUGUGUGUUUGAGUGAAGAGUGAAGUUAACAGGAAAACGUUUUGCUCGGUUCCCAGUAAAAUAACAGCAGAGACAAUUGUUUACAACAUGAGGUCUGGAUAGUAUCUCGCAGCAAGGUCAGGUUAUUUUAAAAGCGUUCCUACCGCCAUUAGUCCCUCAUCGUUUUAUCUGACAACAAUCAAAAUAUUUGGAACCAAAAAGUCAGAUUGUAAUAAUAAUAAUAAUAAUAAUAAUAAGGAAGCAAACAAAAAUAAAUUGUAAAAUAAACCAGAGUUUUAGGCAAAGGAAACUAGGUCAAAAUAUAAAUGAAAAUAGAUAUAAAUAAAUAAUAAUACGUAGAAAACAUUGCCAAACUUCUUGUCAGCCGCUUUUGAAGAAAGGUUAAAAUGCGGAAAAUUAGUGAAUUUAGGAGUGUGUGCGAUGGAGUUAACAAUGGUAAUACGAUUCCAAGAGAGUUCGUAGACUUACUGUUGUUGUUUAAUCUCAGGUCAAUUUUGGUGAAGCAGAUCUAUGAUCAAAAGCGUACAAGCUGUGAUAAUCCCCGUUCAUUCUCUCUCCCUUCCUCUCUCCUCCCUCCUUCUCUCUCUCUCUCUCUCUCUCUCUCUCUCUCUCUCUCUCGCAAUACAGUGUAUUUAAAAUAACAUUAUCUAAUAGAUCUCUAACAUAUGGAAGAUUCUUUGUUCUUUCCUGUUUAUCGAUGUUAUGUCAGGUCAACUCCAAUUGAACAUGCCUUAUUCUCAAUUGCAUUUCAUUUGUGGCCAUCUCUUCUUUUUCCCUGUACUUAUUUUUUAGUCUGGUAUAUAGUCUAUCUGCUCCUUUUGCAAAACCUCAGUUCCAGAGAUGUAAACAAACCAACAUCGGUUAUCAAGUGGUGUGGGGAUACAAACAUAUGUAUACAACAGUCUUCAGCACAGUUUUCCCCCUACAGGCCUACAACCGGGGCUAUUGUAGAAGUGACUUUCCUAAGAUGCAGACACACACUUGCGCACACACAUUAAUAAAGAAAAUAAUUAUAUACAAUUAUAAGUUUUUUUUGUGCAAACAAAAAUCUCUAGACAGUGCAGCUUUUUAGAUGAAGUCAGUUUAAGGUUGCAAAAGCACGAGAAGUGUUUAGCCAAUGAUGCUUUUUGGAUCAAGACGGCUAUAGCUAAUAAAACCUUCUGGAUAAAGUCAGCUUGUUUUAGCGAUGUUUUGUAAAUCAAUAUGACUUGGCUCAAGUCAGCUUUAGUUAGCGCAGCUAUGUGGAUCGGAAUUAGUUAUUGUCUAUAAAACCUUAAGGAUCAAGUCGGCUUAAGUUUGUGAAGAUUUUGGAUUAAUAGAGAUAAGGACGUGGCAACAGGCACUAAUCAGGAAGAUUGUUUAAGUUAAUAUGGUUAUUGUUAGUGUAAGGACAGCAUGUUAAUAUAAAUAUAUCGAAGGGAAACGUGAACAAUGAGAAGGAGUAGAUCUGGUUUUUGGCCCAGGUUUGUUUACCUGUAACCAGAUGCAAACACAUACACACACACGUACUUGUAUGUCUAUUCAGCAUCGCCUUGUGUAAGGUGCGAAUUCAUGAAGGUUGCGAAAUGGAUGUAAACCUGUGGUUAAAUAAAUAUAUAUUCACCUCUCGUAUUUCAUGAAUUUAUGGUUUUUUAUAUAUAUAUAUAUAUAUAUAUAUAUGGACACACAACCUGUGCUUCCCCAUCCAACCCAUGCAAGCAUGGAAAACGGAUGUUAACCGAUCAUGAUGAUGAUGACACACACACACAUAUAUAUACAUUAUAUAUUUAUCAUCAACAUCACCAUAUGCAUAUAUAUAUAUAUAUAUUCUUUUGUUUUGUUUCAGUCAUUUGACUGUGGCCAUGCUGGAGCCCCGCCUUAAAGGGUUUUAGUUGAACAGAUCAAACUUGGUACUUAUUCUUUGUAAGCUUAAUACUUAUUCAAUAAGUCUCUUUUGGCGAAUCACAAAGUUACGGGGACAUAAACACACCGACACUGGGUAACAAGUGCUGAUGUCUUCUACUAUAGCCUUGGGCCGACCAAAACCUUGUUUUGGUAGAUGGAAACUGAAAGUAGCCUGUCAUAUGUGUGUGUGUGUAUAUAUAUAUAUAUAUAUAUAUAUGUUUGUGUGUCUGUGUUUGUCCCCUUCCCCCAACAUUGCUAGACAACCGACGCUGGUGAGUUUACUUAGCAGUUCGGCAAAAGAGACCAAUAGAAUAAGUACUAGGCUUACAAAGAGUAAGUCCUGGGGUUGAUUUGCUCGACUAAAGGCAGUGCUCCAGCAUGGCCACAAUCAAAUGACUGAAACAAGAAAAAGAGUAAAGAGAGAGAAAGUGAGUGUACCUCUGUACACAUGCUUUCAUACUUACACACACACACACUCACACUCACACACACAGAUAGUUUUGUGCGAACAUUGCAGUCAUCGUAGUCAUAUGCAAGGGUGAGUAUAUUUGCAUAUAUCCGCACAUGUAAUGCGACUUCGCUUUUGAUGAAAACUUUCAACACCAAAAAAUAAAUAAAUAAAAUAAUAAUAAUAAUGAUAAUAAUAAUAAUAAUAAUAAUAAUAAUAAUAGUAAUAAAGCAAAAAAAUAUCGAUUUGUUCUUACGAAAUUUUAAUGUGUGUUUUAAAAAAGAGUCAGAAGUGUUUUUUAUGUAUAUAUAUAUAAUCUGUGAUUAGAUCUGUCUUUAGAGAGAUUCUUGGUAAAAAUGCACAUUUGCGUCUUUAUUUUCUUUUUUUUUUUAAAUAUACAUUAAAAUAAAAUUCUCUAGUACAUAUUCAAGUACACAUCUAGAUAAAAAAAAUCACAUUGAUAUUGAUACUGGAAAACAAUAAAAAAAAAAUACUACUUUACACUAAGUUUGUGUGUGUGUGUAGGUUGGUUAAUACAAACAGGAAAAAUAGAACUUAAAACAUGAGUAUGUAUAUAUAUAUAUAUGUAUGUAUAUUUACUUCAAUCGGCAGAAGUUACAAAGCGACUCAAAAGCUGAGAGUUUUCUACAUUGCAAAAUGGUCAUGUACAAAACCUUCGGUCCUUGAAAACAUUGGUAACUUCUGCUGAUUAUCAUACAACACAGAUAUAUAUAUAUAUAUAUAUAUAUAUAUAUAUAUAUGUAGGUAGGUAGGUAGAUAGGUAGGUAGAUAGAUAGAUAGAUCUAGCCGAUUUAUGGGGUUACCCUGGGUUUCAUGUCCAUAAAUUGCUUAACUUUACAGCGUUUCGUCAGACUCUUAAAAAAGUGUUGGCAUAUGGACUCUCUUGCAAGUGGAUAUAUGAUUUAUUGAAUAUAUAUGUAUAUAUAUGUAUGUAAUGUAUGUAUGUAAUGCAUGUAUGUAAUGUAUGUAAUGUAUGUAUGUAAUGUAUGUAUGUAAUGUAUGUAUGUAAUUUAUGUAUGUAAUUUAUGUAUGUAAUUUAUGUAUGUAAUUUAUGUAAUGUAUGUAUGUAAUGUAUGUAUGUAAUGUAUAUAUGUAUGUAAUGUAUGUAUGUAUGUAUGUGUGUAUGUAUUUGUGUAUGUAUGUAGAAAUAAUAUAAGAUUCAGUUGAACUAGGUACUUAAGUUGAAGCACCAAGUCAGUCCAGUAUUAUCCGCACAGCUCCAUGUAAGGUGGAUAAAAUCGAAAUAAGUAACAGAAUAUCAAGAAGUGAUGCAGUACGACCAUCUAAAGCGGCUCCAUUUAUUUGAACAGUGGCAAUCAUUACAUUUGUUUAAAUGCAGUACUAUCAUCAGCUGCACUGAUAAAUAGAAUUUUAACCAGUUGGACACAUUAAUAUAAUUUUUCUCAAAUAUUUUAGCAGAGCAAGAAGAUGGAAGAAAUUCAUGUUGUCGCUAAGUGUAGCUAAGAAUAGACUUCAUUUCCAAGAAUGGCAUGAAGUCUACUGUGGUCAUAGCUUGUAAAUGAUUGUGGUUCAUUUCUAAUUUAUUUGUCUUUUUAUCAACUACUGAUGAUAGCACUGCAUUUAAAUUAAUGUAAUGAUUGCACUGUUCAAUGAAAUGGAAACACUUGAAAUGGUUGUACUGCAUCACCUCUUGAUAUCCUGUUGCUUAUUUUGAUUAUAUAUAUAUAUUCGAACUUGGUUAAACUGUGUAAAAAAACACCAUGUGUAUCCAGAGUUUCCCCUGUCGGAUUCCAUGCCACGUUUCUAACUCUUUGGCCGUUAUCAAUGAGAAAUACCAAAGAAAAGUAACUCUGAGCAGAUUUUAAAGUCAUUAGAAAUGCGUCUGGGAAUCCAAUAGUGGGUAGCACUUAGCAGAUAUAUUGUUUUUACACCUUUCAUCAUAAGUGAUCAUUUUUCCUUAAUGAUAACUGCUAUAGAUUUGCCUUUAGAAGUUGAACUAUGUUACAAACACUGGUGUAGGUGUGUCUGUGGGUUCAGUCCCACUGCAUGGCACCUUGAGCAAGUAUGUCCUACUAUAGCCUCGGGUCGACCAAAGCCUUAUGAGUGGAUUUGGGAGACGGACACUGAAAGAAGCCUAAUGUGUAUAUGUAUAUAUAUAUAUAUAUAUUAUACAUUCAAUAUAUAUACAUUUAUAUAUAUAUAUUAUACAUUCAAUAUAUAUACAUUCAUAUAUAUAUAUAUUAUACUGUUAUAUUUCGGAAUGGUCAUAUUGCCAGUUUAGCCAAUAUAUAUACAUUCAUAUAUAUGUAUAUAUAUAUAUAUAUAUUAUACAUUCAAUAUAUAUACAUUCAUAUAUAUAUAUAUAUAUAUAUAUAUAUAUAUAUAUAUAUAAAACGCACUGUUUCCAAAUAAAGUCUUGAAAAUUCACCCUGGGUUCUAUAUGCGAAGUUCUUUUGAAUAUUCCAUGCUUUAAUACACUAAAAACUUAUACAGGAAUAUCUGCUGUUGAAACUGGAGUGCGUCUGAUGUAUACAUGAGUCUCAAAUAUGGUAAUUCGGUCAUAUUAAUGCGCUGGAAGUUUUUUUCUUUUUUUUAAAAUUCUUUUUAGAGAAAUAUGUUCUUUGGUGCAAUCUUAAGUUUUCUAAUAUAAUCCGAUUCACAUAUAAGAUGCUUUAUACGAAUACUAAGUCGAUUCCAAUACUAGACUGAUGCUUUAAACCAUUAUUUCUUUCUUUCCUGUUUUCUUUUUGUUUUUUCUUUUGUUAAACCUUUUUUACACACAAAACCCUCACACCAACACACACACACAUAUACCCCCAGUUGAUAUCUUUGUCCUGUGCUGCCUUUAAUGUUUUUCUUAAUGUAAACCCUGUUUGCUUGACAAAUAAAUCAUCAUUACCAUUAUUAUUUCAUCGACCCCCCCCGGACGGGAGGGACAGCAAAGUUGGCCUCGUCAGAUUUGAUUUCUAAAACAUAAAGAUCCGUCAAGCAUUAUAUCCGAGUUUCAGGCAAUCCCGCCAUUGGCAGAAUCGUUAGCAUGCUGGGCAAGUUGCUUAGUGGCAUUUCAGCUGUCUUCAUUUACGUCCAGGGUUCAAAUUCCGCUGAGGUCGACUUUGCCUUUCAUCUUUUCGGGGUCGAUAAAACAUGUACCUGUCGAACACUGAGGUUGAUGUAAUCGAUUCAUCCCUCCCACCAUAAUUGCUACCCUUGUGGCAAAAUUUGAAACUAUUAUUAUUAUUAUUGAGUGAGAGAGCAGUGGAUAUUUUUUGCGUUAUUUUCUGGCACUCUGUCUGUUAUGAUGACGAAGGUUCCAGUUGAUCUGAUGAACCGAACAACCUGUUCGUCAAAUUAACGUGCAAGUGGUUGAGUACUCCACAGACACGUGUACCCUUAACAUAGUUCUCAGAGAGAUUCAGUAUGACACAAAGUUUGACAAGGCUGGCCCUUUGAAAUACAGGUACUACUCAUUUUUGCCAGCUGAGUGGACUGGAGCAACAUGAAAUAAAGAAAUAAAGUGUCUUGCUCAAGGACACAACGCCUCACCGGGAAUUGAACUUUCGACCUUAAGAUCAUAAGCUGAAUACUCUAGGCUGUUGCGUUAUAAUUGAGAGGUAAUGGGCGAAAUGCAUGAAACUGAGAGGGAAGGGAACCAAACAAUGGUUUAGGUUACAAAACUUCAGAAAUAUAAAGAGGAUUUCUCCUUUCUUGGAAACACAAUUGUUGUCUAGUCUCAAGUCAGCUUUGACUGGGCUGUAUUAUUGAUGGAAGACUUUCAGCCAUAGCAAUCCAUUUUUUUUUUAUAUUAGUGAUUUCUUUUUAAAGUAUUACUUACACUUUUUCAAUAACAGUCUCUCUUCGUCUCUCUCUCUCUCUCUCUCUCUCUCUCUCCAAACUAUAUUAAUCUACACUUUUUCACUAACAGUUUCUCUUCCUCUCUCUCUCUCUCUCUCUCUCUCCAAACUAUAUUAAUCUAUCUUUUUCACACAUAUUCUAUCUCUCUCAUUUUCGUACUAUUUCUAUCUGACUAUCACUUUCGCACUAUUUCUCUCUGUCUAUCACUUUCGCAUUAUUUCUAUCAGUCUAUCUCUUUCACACUUCAUGUAUCUGAUAAUCUCUUUUACUUCAGUUUAUCUUAACACAAAAUCUUAGUGGAUUCGAUUUUUUAAAUUUAUGUAAAUGCAUGCAUGUAUACAUGUAUGUGUGUGUGUAAAACAUAUUCAUGUAUGUAUGCACAUCGAUGCAAAUGUAUCUAUUUAUAUAAAGGUACGCAUGGCAAGGUAU